rnacentral:lncRNA from 1 species
UUUUUUUUUUGGUGAGAAACGAAUUAGUUUCUUGUUGUGUGCAAGUGUCUAGCAUCUUGCAACGAACUCUGUUGCCGGGCAAAGUUUUGCUUGCGCUGUGCAGGCGUCUGCUUCUUUCUCUGAAACUCUGACGAACGAAAUCUUCAGGUGUUGAAACACCAGUUUCAUGCAUUCUUUAGUCCUCGUCUCUGAACCAGUUGCAUACAACUCUUUGCAGUGCUGCCGUCUUUGAAUAGGCAGGUGAACUCGGUUAUCAUGGGCCUCGAGGUAGCAGGUGGCGGGGAAGCUGCAGUUAAGGUAUUUUCCUUCGUUCUGCAGGUUCAUCUGAUGGUUAUUGCACUGUUAUCAACUUUGAUUUGAGGGUUUUGUGCUGACUGCUGCUGCUCGUGUUUGACAGGGGAAGUUCUGGGGUAUAGUUGUCUGUUUUUUCUUGGGAAAUGGGAGCCUAUUUGCCUGGAACAGUAUGCUCACCAUCGAGGAUUACUAUGUCUCUCUGUUCCCGGUAUGUGUUUGCUUGUGAAACUCAGUUGCUUUUUGAUUAAAAUAUGUACGCAAAAGUGCGUCUCGUUUCGUUUCUUUUGAAUGUUGCAGUAGAUUGUUUAAUUGAUGAUCUGAACGAAGCCAGUAGUAUUCAGUAGCCUGAUUCUAGCACUUCUUUUUAUAUAAGCUAAAAGCGUCCUUCUGGAUUCGCUUGGUGUGUUUGGGUAAAUUAAGAAUUGUUAGUUUUACUCAUUUUAAUGACGCGGUUUAUCAUUUCUACCUUGCACUGUCUUAACUUGUUGAACUGAGAUGCCAAUUUGAUCCCUUCGUUUUGCAGAAUUUGUUGUGUCAAACAUUCAGAUUUUAUUACGUACAAUGACAUUUGACCUACGAUAUCUAUCUGCAGAAUUACCAUCCGACAAGAGUUCUUACACUAGUAUACCAGCCUUUUGCCUUUGGACUCACCUGCUUCUUUGCAUACUAUGAAGCAACGAUGAACACGAGGAAGAGAAACCUAGCUGGUUUUGCACUUUUCUUCCUUAGCUCUUUCGCAUUAAUAUUGGUAAGUAUAUUGGGUAUUGCCUUUUGCCUGGAAGGAAAAGAAUAACAUUGAUGUGCCAGUAUGGCAGCUCAUGUAAAUCAUUUUUCUUAUUGUAGCUGGACGUUGGUACUAAAGGACAUGGUGGAAUUCCAGCAUACAUUGGUGUAUGCAUAAUCAGUGCCUUUUUUGGGACAUCUGAUGCGCUUGUUCAAGGUGGCUUGGUUGGCGACCUUUCUUUGAUGUGCCCGGAGUUCAUUCAGGUUACUUUUUGGUCUAUUAUUGUACUUUGUGAUGUUUGGUUAACUUUUUCAUGUCUCAGACUGAGAAUAAUUUACCUUUCAUGACGUAAAUCAUCUAUUGGAAUUGCAGUCCUUCCUGUCAGGCUUGGCUGCAUCAGGAGUUAUAACAUCAGCUUUGAGACUAAUUACAAAGGCAGCUUUCGAGAACUCACAAAAUGGUCUUCGAAAUGGAGCUAGUACGUCGAAAUCUCAUCAACAUAUAUUAUUAUUUUUGGAUAAUGCGAGACAUCUCUGCCAACCUAUAUGAGCACACAGCCCAAUCUCAUCAACAAAUGCAGAUUCAGUAAAAUUGUGAUAAAAAUUUAAGAAUAGCAGAAUGCUAUAAAUCCACUAUGAUCAUAACAGUCAUCAGUGACAACGUAAAGAAAUCCAUUUCAGAACUUGCUCAUAUAACUUUCUACUAGAAUGUUUAGGUGCUUGUUACAAUCUUACUUGCAGAUCUCCUAAAAUAUCGCACCAUGCAUGUGCAUAACCAAUUCAUGUAUGAUUUUUUGUGCAGUGCUAUUCUUCUCGGUAACAUGCAUGUUCGAGCUAGCUUGCCUCCUCCUAUACGCAUUUGUCUUUCCCAAAUUACCCAUCGUGAAGUACUACCGCCAAAAGGCAGCCUCUGAAGGGAGCAAGACUGUUGGCAGCGACCUUGCUGCUGCAGGAAUCAAAACUGAUCAAGAUAGGCAGGUUUGUCUCUCUGAUCAUACCAAUGCCUACAAUGAAUCUUCUACGACUUUGCCAUGAGAAUGAAAUGUUGAUAUACUGAUUCACAGGUUGAGGAGGAUCCCCAAAAGCACGAACGUUUAAGCACCAAGGAGCUGCUGAUGCAGAAUAUAGACUAUGCUUUGGAUAUCUUCCUGAUAUAUGUCUUGACUCUAUCAAUCUUCCCUGGAUUUUUAUCCGAAGAUACUGGAUCACAUGGCCUGGGAACAUGGUAAUCUUUCUUGCACUUGUACCUGGCACCUACUUCUGCAGAAUUUACCUGGGAGUAUUGUCCAGUAUCUGACAUGUCAUUGUUCUGAUAAAAUUCAGGUACGCACUUGUGCUGAUCACGAUGUACAAUGUGUUAGAUCUGAUUGGUAGGUACAUACCACUGAUCAAAUGCCUGAAGCUGACGAACCGGAAGGGCCUGAUGGUCGCCAUCUUGGCGCGCUUCCUGUUCAUCCCUGCGUUCUACUUCACGGCCAAGUAUGGCGACCAAGGGUACAUGAUCUUCCUCACGUCCUUUCUGGGACUGACCAAUGGCUACCUCACCGUGUGCGUCCUCGCUGAAGCGCCAAAUGGGUACAAGGCAAGUCUCCUUCCUUGCCGAUGCAAACAUCGUAAUGCAGUGUUCAGAAAGAAAACGUUUGUUCCUUGUCGAUGCAAACAUCAUAGUACAGUAAAUGUUUGUCAUGAGGAUCUGAGCUGUAUGUUGAACAUUGGUUUUUUGGUUGUGCAGGGGCCGGAGCAGAACGCUCUGGGGAACGUGCUCGUGGUGUGCCUCCUCGGCGGCAUAUUCUCCGGCGUCGUGCUCGACUGGAUGUGGCUGAUAGGCAAGGGCUGGUAGUCGAGCACUCUCCGCUGUUUGGUCUGCGCGAUUCGUUCGGUGUCGGGUGGGAAGCGCGCUAAUGCUGGCGAUCUUUCUUGCUCCAUAGGUAGAUAGGUGGUUGCCGAAACAAGGAUGCUGCAGUACAGUGGUGUAUUCCGAGUGGUUGUUCAUCUUCUUUCUCAAAAGAGAUUUUAAAUGUUAAUCUGUUCAUGUUUGUAAAUAACUUUGCUGCGACAUGCGAUGUAUCCUUUCUAGCUUCCCUUUUAUGUUUAGCCCCUAGGGCUGUCUUCCCCUGCUUACCAUAUUGGACGGCAUAUUCAUGACUCGUUGAACCAAAACAUCAAAUUUAUCUUAACCACAAGUCUGAAAUAAAUAGUGGAGUUAGGUCCAAUUAUAGUGCCACGAUAAAGCGAGCUUAUGUCAUCUUAAAAUAUUAAUGGUUGCUUCUAACCAGUGAGAGAUAAAAGAAGAGAAACUAAUAAUUAAACUCACCAAACCUAAAACAACUCAUUAUCCAAGGCAAUCUAUAAAAGAGUUCUUUCUGCCAAAGAACCAACCUUUUUGUUUGACGCACAUAAAGGGACCCCCCCCCCCCCUCCCUGAAACUUACUAAUUUAGUUGCUAGCAAUGGUGUUAAANNNNNNNNNNNNNNNNNNNNNNNNNNNNNNNNNNNNNNNNNNNNNNNNNNNNNNNNNNNNNNNNNNNNNNNNNNNNNNNNNNNNNNNNNNNNNNNNNNNNNNNNNNNNNNNNNNNNNNNNNNNNNNNNNNNNNNNNNNNNNNNNNNNNNNNNNNNNNNNNNNNNNNNNNNNNNNNNNNNNNNNNNNNNNNNNNNNNNNNNNNNNNNNNNNNNNNNNNNNNNNNNNNNNNNNNNNNNNNNNNNNNNNNNNNNNNNNNNNNNUAACAAAUGAAUCAAUAGUACUGGAAUAUUAUCGUUUCAUGUAAGAGAAGGGGGCACACAAAGAAAUUGCCACAACAACGCUCAGAUGGACAAACAGGCCAGAUUUGUCUUUUCCACAAUAGAUGAUAAUCAAUAUACUCAAUUCUUCCCAAUGGACACACAUGACAAAGAUACCACAUGAAAAAAGUUGGAAAGUAUCAAACAUGCAUGCGUAGCUAACUACUCCCUCCGUCCGAAAAAACUUGUCUCUCAAAUGAAUGUAUCUAGAACUAAUUUGGUGCAAGAUACAUCCAUUUGAGGGACAAGCUUGGGACAAAUUUUUUCGGACGGAGGGAGUACACCACAAUGCUAGAAAGAACGUUUGAACUGAAGCAUAUGUUUGCUUGAUCAAUCCAAGAGGAUUCAUCUUAGAAGUGAAAAUGCUUGUUAACAACAUGUGAAAGGAGGGAUGGAGAAACUUACAGGGAGCAUCUAAACAAUGCGUUGGUACACCCUUAAGAUCUGGAAUUGUUAUUGGAUCACUGAUUACUUGAAAAACAAUUCAUCUAUACAUUUGAUAUCCGAGAAAAUAAAAUGUGUUAUUUGUAGUAUUACAUAAGAUACAACUUUGCAUAACUAGUUAUUUUGCAUGGCGGAAACAUCAAGAAUUAAAUUAGAAAAUUGCCAAGGAGAGAAUGGGAUGUUCUUCAUAUAUAGUGAAGUUGAUGUUUAAGAAAGAAUAGGAUAAUUUGGACUGAGAUAAACAAAUAUAAUUUGUAAAAAGUAUAAAGCUAACCUAAAGAUAACUAUUUUAAGAAAGAGGUAGUCGUAAACCACGUGGAAAAAAUUAAGUGAACUAAAAGCCAACAGCUUUGCUACUGAGCUACGUGCAACUGUAUGCAAGGUAUCUGGAGGAAGAGUGCCAAGCAAGCACGCAGACAAUGCAUCUCUAAGUUUAGCCACCAAUCGACCCAAAAAUCCUAAUUAAUUCAAAAAUACCGAUGAAGGAAUAUAUUAGGGUAGAUACACUUCAAAUGAGAAAUUAUAAAUCAAUUUUUAGAGAGAGAGAGAGAGAGAGAGAGAGAGAGAGAUAUGAAAUCUGAAUCACAUGGGCGAGUGUAUGUGUGUGUGUGUACGUGGGCAUCAACGGCAACUACGAAGAUGUCUACGAUGACUUUGUCAAUCUCAAGAUGAUGUCCCGGCUCAGUAUCUCGGAGGUGCUCAUAGAGGUAGGAUGUGCAUGCGUGCGUUCAUAUGAGUGAGCUUAUGUGCUUGCAUGUGGGCAUCAAUGUCGACUACCAACACGCCUGUGUUGACUUCAUCAAUCUCAAGAUGGUGUGCCGGCUCAGCAUCAGAAGUGCUCAUAUAGAUACGGUUUGCGUGUGUGUUCACAGGAGUGAGUGUAUGUGGGCAUCAACGUCGACUACGAAGAUGCCUGCAGUAACUUCGUCAGUCUCAAGAUGUUGUACCAGCUCAGUAUCUCAGAGGUGCUCAUAGAGGUACGAUGUGCGUGCUUAUGCGUUCAUAGGGGUGAGUGUAUGUGCGUGUACAUGGGCAUCAACGUCGACUACGAAGACGCCUGCAGUGGCUUCGUCAAUCUCAAGAUGUUGUGCCGGCUUAGUAGGCAUCGACGUCAACUACGAAGACACCUGCGGUGACUUCGUCGAUCUCAAGAUGUUGUGCCGGCUCACUAUCUCGAAGAUGCUCAUAUUGAUAGGGUGUCCGUGCGUGCACGUUCAUAGGUCUGAGUGUAUGUGCGUGUAUGUGGGCAUCUGUGUUGUACUGCGUUAAAAAACCAGUAGCAAAACACACACAAAAUCAGGAGGUGCUCAUAGAGGCACGAUGUGCGUGCGUAUGCGUUCACAAAGGCGAGUGUAUGUGUGUGUACGUGGGCAUCAACGUCGACUACGACGACCCCUGCAGUGACUUCGCCAAUCUCAAGAUGUUGUAGCGGCUCAGUAGGCAUCGACGUCAACUAUGAAGACACCUAUAGUGACUUCGUCAAUCUCAAAAUGUUGUGUUGGCUCACUGUCUCGAAGGUGCUCAUACUAAUAAGGUGUGCGUGCGUGCAUUCAUAUGUGUGAGUGUAUGUGCGUAUAUACGGGCAUCUGUGUUGUACUGCGUUAAAAAACCACACACACAAAAAUCAGUAAUGAAGCAAAUAAAAAAACAGCCAUGUGUCAACUGGGAGAGUACUCAGGCAAAGUACUUCAAAUGCAUGCUAGCACUACUAGGGAAAACCUUAUACGCAGAAAUUUAGCAACAACGCGGGUCAAAAAAGGGCGCUAGUGCUAGAUAGCAGUAGCGAUUGAGAAAAAACCGCGCUACAAAUACAACCUUAGCAGUAGCGCGUGUAGUGGCAAAAGCGCUACUACUAAUAUUCCCAUUGGUAGAAUGAUAGGCUACGCAUAGCAGUAUCGGGCUUGGAAGAAGCGCGCUACCGCUAGGGCAUAAGUAGUAGCGCGUUUCCUACGAAGAGCGCUACUACUGAUGGAAAUAAAAUAAGAUGAAAAACAAAUAGAAAAGUAAAUGAAAAUGAAAGAAAUAGAAAAAGGAGAAAGAAAAAAUAAAAUGUAAAGCAAAAUAAAUGAAAAAGCGAAAAAACGGAGGAAGGCAUAGCAGUAGCGUGUGUUCAUAAGAGGCGCUAUAGCUAACGUAGCUGCAACGCGUGUCCUAGACCCCCGCUAUAGAAACAGAAAAGGAAAUUAAAAAAUGGAAGAAAAUUACAUAGCUAUAGCAGCAGCGCGUUUUGUAAAAACCGCUAUAGCUAUCUUAGGUAUAGCGCGUUUUACUAAACGCGCUACCGCUAAAUUUGACUUAACCAAGAAACCGUUUCCCCCCGGCCACCACUUCUCCCCCAAAUCCCUCGACCCACCCCGCUGCCGUCUCCCCGAUUCGCCGUCACCCCACUUCGCCGCCGUCUCCUGCCGACGUCGACACCACCAGAGCCGUGCGCCGUCGACGCCACCGGAGCCGCCCCCAACGCCACGGAGCUGCACGGCCUCAUCAACGCCACCGGAGCCGCCGUCGACGCCACCGGAUCCUCCCUCGCCACAACUGCCUCCCUCGCCGUCACCGGAGACGCCCCUGCCUCCCUCGCCACCACUGCCUCCCUCGCCACCACCGGAGCCAUCCUCUGUAAGCCCCCACCCCUCCUCUCUCUCUCAUGCAUAGGUUAGCUAGUUUAAUUAGGUUAAUUAUCUAGGUUAGGGCAAAAAUUUAGUUAGGGCUUUGACAGAGAAGUAGUUAGGUUAACUAGUUUAAUUAGGUUAAUUAUCUAGGUUAGUGCAAAAAUUUAGUUAGGGCUUUGACAGAGAACUAGUCAGGUUAACUAGUUUAAUUAGGUUAAUUAUCUAGGUUAAUUAGUGCAAAAAUUUAUUUAGGGCUUUGACAGAGAACUAGCUGCGUUAACUAGUUUAAUUAGGUUAAUUAUCUAGGUAAACUAGAUUAACUAACUAGAUUAAAUAGGUAGGUUAAUUAGGUUCGUUGGAUUAACAAGCUAGGUUAAGUAGGUUGGCUAGGUUAGUGGAAAAUUUUAUUUUAGAGCAUUAGGUCAGAAGGGUUAGAGAAAUGGAGUUCCUUUGCAAUUUAAUUGGGUUCUGUCCUAGGCAGAGAAGGGUUAGAGAUAAUAAUGUGUGUUUGUGUGAGAGAGAGGAAUAGCUAGAUCAACAUAAUUUGGGUUCUGUCCUAGGCAGAGAAGUGUUUAGUGAGGUCAUUUUGCAAAGGUUUUUGAUUUUUGGAAAGACCACUAUUUUUCAAGGAAAAGAAUUUAGGCAAAUUUUAUUUUAAAGAUGAUCCCUUCCUAGACUUUUAUUGUUGAUUAUAUCUUUUCAUUGAAGUGGUCAUGUUAUAUCUUUUCAUUGAAGUUGUUCGAUUGUGCCCAAGUGGCUUUGUUGUUUCCAGGGAAUGAUGCUGAGUGGCCUAUGUUUUGCCGGAAUGUUGAUUCAUUUCUGUUCCGGCAAAUUUUAGGUUCUCGAUUUGUCCACUUUUUAGCAAAGGUCAUGCCGAAAUUUUCCGUGAAUUUCAACAUGACUUGUGCUACAAACUAGGACAUAUCGAGUGCCCGGGAUUUGCCGCACCAGGAAGGAGUCAACGUUCCUGCAAAAUAAUAGGCCUUUUUUAUGUCAUUAUUCAUUUUAUUAGGUCUAGAAUUAAUUGACUAGAUUUAAUCAUAGGAAACAUGGCUAGCAACGAUGAAGGACAGGGUUCUGGUGAUUGCGACGACGUCUACCAGGCGGCAGACGAAUUUUUUAGCCUUGCCGACGAUCAACCAAUGUUGUUGCUGGGCCCACCGGUGGCAUCGGGGACUGAGACCGACACGCAGACUGGUGCUGGACUGAGACCGGCGCUGAGACUCAGACCGACAUCGAGACCGGCGCUGAGACUGAGACCGGCGCUGCCUCGGGGGCGGAGCCGGUGUAGAACCGAAAGCAAAGAGGCAACGGCUUCCUAACAAACUCAGGACUACUAGACUGGUGGUCACGGAGGUGGACGACGGCAAUUUUGAGCCAAAGGCGCCCGAGGAAGCGCGCUCGUGCUACAGCAAUCAAAUAGGCUGCAUCGUACGGACAACCGCCACCAUCAACGAUGAGAAACUACAGAAGAUAGAAAAUAUGAGGAGCUCCCUCCUAAAGAAGUUUCACCAGAUAUUCUUGUUCCCGGGCCGGAAUGAGAAGGAUUAUGAAGAUCUAGAUGAGGACCCGGCAAUGAAGAAGAUAAACAAACACGCCAUGACCAAGUUUAGCGACGCGUUGGCCGCCUGGAAAAAUCGAGUGAAAGCAAAGAUCAUCGACAAGGAACCCUACUCCGAGAUUGUAAAGGAUAAUCCGACAAUCACGGAAGAGCAGUUUCAAAUAUUCAAGGAGGCUUGCGAGGCCGAAGCUGCCAAAAAAAAGUCUAAGUACAUGAAGGGGCUUCAAGAGAGGAACAUUGGGAGCCACCGCCUCGGAAGCCGUGGUUACGGCGGAAAGAGGUCCAAAUGGGCCAAGGAGGACGCGGAAGCCGCGAGUCUGGGCAUCCCAGACCCCUUGGCGGAGUUCACCGUCCCGCAGGAGCGUGACGUCCUCAGGGCCCGGCACCGUUGGGACCCAGUGAAGAAGGUUUACGAGACAAAACCGGUCAUUACGGAGUUCAUGAGACUGCUGGUAAUUUUAGUUUCUGAUCAAUUCGACUGCACACGUUAGUCAUAUUUGUAAACGAUCCUUGUGCCUUUUGCAGAGAGAGCAGCACCAGUUUGCGGCCGAAAGCGACUCACCGUCUGAGGCAUUGGCGAGGCCCAAGUGGGACACUCCAUUCAACUGGGCGUUGAACAUAUUGAAACGACAACCGGUGGAUACUCGACCGUCGUAUGGACGCGUGCACGGUGUCGGAGACGGCGCCACGUGGAAGAAGUACUACCGUGAGACCACGGAGGAGAGAAAGGAAAGAUGGAGGUUAACUGAAGAAAACAUCGACAAGAAGGUUGAGAUUGCGGUUGAGAAGAAAUCAUCUCAGACAGUCGCAACAGCGGUAGCUGCCGCAAAAUAGGUGGUUGCAGAUUUGUCUACUUCCUUGGUUCCGGCCAUUUUCACUUUGACAAGGCAAAAUCCAGAAAAAAAAAAUGCAGAGGACUUUCCCCUUGCUGACUUCUUGGGGAGCGGCUCGACUAGCGUUGCACCAGCACCUGCUCCCGCACCGGCUCCCGCACCGGCUCCCGCACCGGACGUGCUCGGCGGUGCUUCGUCUUUGGCUGAGCUCGAUGCCCUCACGGUAUCUGUCACACCGGCCCCCUUCAAUAUAAAUGUAUAAUCUCCCGUUUUCGUUGCCUUUCGGAUGUCUCACGUCGCAGACUUUUCUUUGCAGGCCGACGAAAACCCGUGCACCAUAUUGUACACCAUCAGCGACCAUAAGGUGGAUGUGGGGAAGGCGAUGAUAAUGGAGCCUAAGGAACCACUGUUCCACAGCCGGCCGAUCCCCCCGAACGUCUUCAAGGUUUCCGUGGCCAGUGUCAAACCGGGCCACAAGAAUUUGCCUCCUCUAAUACUAGUGGGGGAUGACGACAAGACCCCGCGGCGGCUUGGUGAUUGUUGCAAUGCGUGGGUCCUGUUGUGGCCAAAGAGUCUGCUUCGUCUGGAGGCGGCCGGGAGCACACCCACGAGCACGCAGCCUCAGCAAGGUAUGAACAUCAACACCCCACCUACCCAAUUAGGGUCGGGUGUCGGGUUGGGUGAUAGUGGACGGGGUAAGGAGGAGGCUCCAUUAGUCGCUGAUGACGUCGCCAUGGAUGAGGAUGAGGAUGACGAUGGCGCUGAACAGUAUGUCUAUACUAGCGCCUCCUCAGGGUUUGAGCGUCAUGAGUCGGUGCCUGAAUUGCCGUCUCAACGUAUUAUGGACGACCUUCCGGUAGUAAAGAAGUCUAGGAAGAGAGCGAGGAAAGGCAAAAAAGCUGAUUCUAUGAUCCACCCGCCUCAGCAGCCUCGGCUUCAGGACCGUAUAGAUAUCCCCGAUGCGGAUAAAUGGCAUAUCCCUGGUCAACCAAUCCUACCUACAACAGCGCUACGGGCCAGAUUCGGCGAUCUAAGGAGACUUCAUGAUGAUGUGCUGCGGGUAGAGAAAGGCCUCAUCGCCUCGAAAGAUCCAGGAUACCCACUCUACGUGGUAAACGUUCCGCGGGAAAUGUCAUACGUCGACAGCUUCCUCGUGGAUAAGUUCUUCCUCCGAUUCGAUUACAUAUUCGACAUGUUUCACGUGAAGAAGCUGGAUUUUACGUUUGUCCGCCUUUAUGCCUUGCUGUCGGAGUAAAUGACCACGGGUAGCCUAGCCGGCUCCCCCUGGUUCUUCAAAACAUGACGGGCCGAUCAAGCCUUCAAGCACCCAAGGCAUGGGGCCGCCUUCCCUUGGCCGGCUGUCUUACAGGCCGACUACCGGAAGGCGGCCCGGCCCUAAAACUCUCAUGAAGAAAGCCACGAGAGGGCCGACUCCAAGAAGCCGGCCACGAGAAGACCGACUCCAAGAAGCCGGCCCCUGGCAAGCGGCCAAGAUCGUGCCCUCAAAGCCUGCACCCACAUAAUGGUGAUGAGACGGGGCGUGGCAACAACGAAGCCUGCCACCCCCGAAUCCCGGAGCACGCAUGGCCACAGUACGCCGUACGGGUCAGCCAUGACCCGUCCGGCGUGGCACUGUUGCCAUGCUGACCAUGACGCCACCCACGACAGGCUGUCAGUACGGCCCGCGGGCGGCGGGCCCCUUCAGUCAGAGAGACACCCGAAGGCGGCCACGCCUCCUCCAGUCGGCCUGGGACGUAGCCGGCUCUCACCAGCCGGCUCGCUCCCUCCCUCGAAGUACGCGCACCAUUAAGGAGACAAGACGAGGUAAGGCCAUAGUGGGAGCCCGCCAGGUGGUGGCACUGUAGCCAUGCUUACCUCGACAAAGCCCUCGUCAUCAAGAGUGAGGCAACAGUAACCAGCCCCCGACAAGACCCACAAGCGGUGGGACCUGUCUGUCGACCGAGAGGCCGGCAGCCGGCGGGACCCACCAGUCAGCGGGCCCCAGCGGCCAGCGGAGAAGCCGGCGAACAUAGACACUGACGGCUAGGGCCCACGCCCAGCCGGAUUACCAUUGUACCCCUGGGGGGUAGGCCUAUAUAAACCCCCAGGGCACCCAUGCAAAGGGUGGAUCUCUGAUAGUUUCACACACUUCAUUGAGGGGAGAAAAGAGCUAGCCUUGCCCUUCUUCCUUCUCUCACCGAACAGCUCAAGGAGCCUCUUGUAGCCACUUGUUGAUCUAGUGAUCAUGCGGAGACCCCGCAGAGCAGGAUUAGGGGUGUUAUCUCCACGGAGAGCCCCGAACCUGGGUAAGAUCCUCCAGCGUGCAUGUCUUCGCCUCAUCCCGUUUCUAGGCACCGGCGAUAUCUUAUUGGCUCCCACAAUGAUAAGCCACCCGUUGGCAUAUGUCGCACCUACCACCCGACAUUUGGCGCCCACUGUGGGGCCAGGUGCACCGUCGUCCGGAGACCUGCUCUGGACGGGAACCCUUUUCCUUCCCAGCGAGCGUAGCCAGCCCAGCACGCCCGAUGGCGCUUGCCCCGACACACUGCAAGAUGUCGAUGACGCCUGCGCGACAAGCUGCCUCGCCGAUCUUCUUGGCGAGGCCCGCAUCUCCGACGAGCCCGCGUCCGACGCGGGCACAGGCUGCCCCGAGAGCCGCCUCGUCAGCCUCCUCGACCAACUCUACGUCUCCAGCGAGCCUGCUGCGGAUUUGGAAUCGGUUGGCUCCAUCGACCCGAUGCUUGUCGACUCCGACACGGCAUCGCUUGACGCUUUCCCCACCAAUGUAGUGAUCUUCGACGACCCUCUUCCUCGAGCCGAUAGCGGUGGCAGCACCGUUACUGAGGUACUAGUCAUCAGCCACGGUGUCACCUCUGGCGAGAACGCCCACGACGCCCUGCACGCGGCGCUGCACGACUUGUCCGUCCCCAUCCCGGCCGACGCCGACGCCGAGACGCUGGAGGCACGCCGCCUUGCCCUCAUUGCGGAGGGCCAGAAGAUAGCCUCCAUGAGACGCCUCACUGAGGCUCACCAGCGCGAAGUCGACCGCGCCGCCUUUAGUACGCCACCUCCCGACGGGCCGAGCCGAGCCGACGUCGUCAAGAAGCGCGGCGCGGCCAUCGCCAACAUGCUGGGAGCAGACCGCCCAGUCUAUGCCACGCCCCUCGAGAACCUACGCGCCGCCCAGUCGGUCGUGGACGAGCUGAAUGGACUGGGGGCCGACGAGCUCCCCUACAAGACCAGACGCAUCCAGCAGCUGAUCGACGCGGCCGCAGAGCGACAUGAAGCCGGCGCCCGCGCUGGAAGUCCUCCCCCACGCCGAGAGCACGGUGCGACAUCGCGGACGCCGACUGCGGGUGGCGCCUGUACAAGGCAAGAAAAGGAGCCGGCUGCUAGCCGCAAUCGGACUCGAAUCACCAUCAAGCGCGAUGCCGAAGGCCGCCCUCGAGUUGUGGAACGACGAGGCGAUCCGCCUCCUCCUCCACCUCAUGGGGAGAGAUAUCCCACCCCACCGCCUGUCACGCAUCCGACUCUCAGCGGCCGACUAGGCCGACGUGAAGGAGUCGGCGAGAAUGAUGCCCGCCAUCGGAUCGACCGCCUAGCGCGAUCCCUGGCGCUAGAAGAAGCAGACGAUGUCGGCCCGCCCUGCUUUGGCCCCCGCAUCCACGACGAGCCCUUCCCCAAAGGGUUCUCACUCCCAAGAGACACGCCCAAGUACAAUGGCUCUGUGAAGUCGGAAGAUUGGUUGAUCGAUUACUCCACUGUGGUUCGCAUAGCAAACGGCAACAAGCGUGUUGCCGUGAAGUAUGUCCCCCUCAUGCUCCAAGGCAUGGCGCGCACCUGGCUCAACAGCUGGCUAGACUUCACAGAAGCCUUCAUCCGCAACUUCACCAGCACCUACAAACGGGCUCCCAAGCGCCGACAGCUCUCCUUCUGUGUUCAAGGGCUCGAUGAAUCAACUCGCGACUACCUCACGCGUUGGGCCGAGCUCCACAACUUCUGCGAGGGGGUGCACGAGGUUCAAGCCAUAGAGUACUUCACUGCCGGAUGCCGAGAAGGCACCCUCCUCAAGCACCGACUCCUCUGCGACGAGCCGACUACCCUCGACGAGCUGCUGAUCAUAGCAGACAAGUAUGCCACGACCGACUCUUCGAUGAAGACCGAGCUUCGAGUAGACGCCUCCGGGAAGGUGCUCACGCCGGCUCCCAAGACGCCGGCUGGAGACUCCAACCGACGCCCGUACCAGAACGACAACAAGCGCAACGCCCCUAUGCCGCCUUCCACCAUUCGGCAAGUGGCCACAGUCGAAGACGAACAACCCGAAGGGCGGCUCGCGCCUAAGAAGCAGAAGGGCGGCAGGCCGGCUUGGCAGCCGGCUUUCUCCUACGAGCAAGCCCUUGAUGCCCCUUGCAAGUUCCACAGCGGCACGAAGGCAUCCAACCACACGACUCGGAAAUGCCAUUGGCUCACGCGAAUCUCCAAGGGCGAAGGGCUGGUGCCGCCUCCGCCUGCUGGCCAGCCGCCUCCAGCCCCUCCGCAGUCGGCCGCUCGACCAGUAGGCGGGGACGUUCAAGACGAGUUCCCCGACGAGCAUGCCGCCUACGUCGUCUUUACAAGCCAGACCGAAGACCAGCGCAGCCGGCGCCGACAGCACCAAGAAGUCAACGUGGUCGCCUCCAACAACCCCGAGUUCCUGCACUGGUCGGAGAAGCCUAUCAGCUGGAGCCGGGCCGAUCACCCAGAGGUGAUGCCAUCUCCCGGCUCUUACGCAUUGGUUUUGGAUGCCACCCUCGCAACAGAAAGGCGAGCUGCCCGUUUCUCCUGCGUGCUGAUAGAUGGCGGGAGCAGCAUCAACAUACUGUACCGUGACACCAUGGAGAAGCUGAACAUCAAGACGAAGCAGCUCAUGCCUAGUCGGACUGUGUUCCACGGCAUCGUACCCGGCCUAUCCUGCUCACCAAUCGGCAAGAUCAAGAUAGAUGUUCUCUUUGGGGACAAGGAUCAUUUCCACCGAGAAGCAAUAUGGUUUGAAGUAGUGGAUCUGGAGAGCCCUUACCACGCAUUACUUGGUCGACCUACUCUGGCCAAGUUCAUGGUUGUGCCCCACUAUGCCUACCUCAAGAUGAAGAUGCCAAGUUCCAAGGGCAUCAUCACCGUAGCCGGAGACUACAAGAAAUCCUCUGAGUGUGCGGCAGCUAGCAACCGGCUGGCCGAGUCCCUCAUGAUCGUUGAAGAGAAAAAGAUGCUGGAUCGAGUCGUGGCCGUGGCCGGCAAGCAGCCGGCCCUGUCCCCCAACCCCAAGGAAUAUGAUGCUCAAGGUUCCUUCCAGCCGGCCAAAAAAACAAAAAAGAUACCUCUGGAUCCGGAGCACCCGGAGAGGCACGCUGUCGUAGGCACCGGCCUAGAUAGCAAAUAGGAAAGCGAGCUCGUCGAUUUCCUCUGUGUGAAUCGGGACAUCUUCGCAUGGUCUCCCAAAGACAUGCCGGGCGUUCCGACGGAUUUCGCCGAGCACAAGCUACAUGUCCGAUCUGACGCCAAGCCGGUCAGGCAGCCCUUGCGCAACCUGUCGGAAGAAAAGAGAAGAGUUGUCGGAGAAGAAAUAGCCCGGCUUCUAGCAGCCCGAUUCAUCAUGGAAGUGUUCUUUCCAGAAUGGCCGGCCAACCCGGUCCUGGUGUUGAAGAAAAAUAAGCAAUGGCGCAUGUGCAUUGACUACACCAGCCUCAACAAAGCCUGCCCCAAAGAUCCUUUUGCUCUGCCAAGGAUUGAUCAAGUGAUAGACUCCACAGCCGAAUGCGAGCUGUUGAGCUUCUUGGAUGCUUACUCAGGCUACCACUAGAUAAAGUUGGAUCCAGCUGACCGCCUGAAGACCGCCUUCAUCACACCAUUCGGAGCUUUCUGCUACCUGACUAUGACAUUCAGCUUGAGAAAUGCCAGUGCCACUUUUCAGCGUCGCAUGCAGAAAUGCCUCCUCAAGCAGCUCGGCAGAAAUGCCCACGUCUAUGUAGAUGAUAUUGUGGUGAAGACGGAGAAGCGCGGCACCUUGCUGGAAGACCUCAGAGAGACAUUUGAAAACUUGCGCCGGUUUCAGAUCAAGCUCAACCCCGAGAAAUGCGUGUUUGGAGUGCCAGCCGGCCAGCUUCUAGGCUUCCUGGUCUUCGAACGCGGCAUCAAAUGCAACCCGGUGAAGAUCAAGGCCAUAGAGAGAAUGGAGAUUCCUACCAAGCUACGAGACAUCCAAAAGUUUACCGGAUGCUUGGCCUCCCUGAACCGCUUCAUCAGCCGGCUCGGAGAGAAAGCUCUCCCCCUCUACCGACUCAUGAAGAAGUCCACUCACUUCGAGUGGAACGACCAAGCAGACCAAGCUUUCCACGAGCUAAAGAAGAUGUUGACCACGCCGCCUGUCUUGGCGGCACCGACUGAGAAAGAGCCCAUGCUCCUUUACAUUGCCGCCACUAGCCGAGUGGUCAGCACCGUUAUCGUGGUUCAGCGCCCAGAAGAAGGCCGAGCUCAGCUAGUCUAGAGGCUGGUAUAUUAUCUGAGCGAAGUGCUGUCCACCUCGAAGCAGAACUACCCGCACUACCAGAAGAUGUGCUAUGGUGUGUACUUCACCGCCAAGAAGCUCAAGCCCUACUUUCAAGAGCACCCCAUCAUGGUCGUAUGUACUGCCCCGCUCGCCGAGAUCAUAGGCAGCUGGGAUGCCGGCCGGGUGGCAAAAUGGGCCAUUGCGCUGGCUCCUUACACAAUCUUCUACCAGCCUCGCACCGCCAUCAAGUCCCAGGCAUUGGUCGACUUCCUUGUCGACUGGGCCGAGACCCAGUACCUACCGCCAGCCCCCGACUCCACUCAUUGGCGGAUGCACUUCGAUGGAUCCAAGAUGCGCACCGGCUUGGGAGCCGGCAUCGUCCUCACCUCUCCCAAGGGCGACAGACUCAGAUACACAUUGCAAAUUCAUUUUGCCGCCUCCAACAAUGUGGCCGAGUACGAGGCGCUCAUACACGGGCUCCGGCUGGCCAAAGAACUCGGCAUUCGCCGGAUCCUGUGCUAUGGUGACUCGGACUUGGUAUUCUAGCAAUCAUCUGGCGACUGGGACGCCAAGGACGCAAACAUGGCGAGCUACUGCUUCCUCGUUCAGCAAAUCAGUGGAUAUUUUGAAGGAUGCGAGUUCCUCCACGUGCCACGGGCCGACAACGAGCAAGCAGAUGCCCUGACACGAAUUGGCUCCACCCGACAAGCUAUACCAACCGGCGUCUCUCUCCAACGCCUCCUCAAGCCGUCUGUCAAGCCAUCUCUAGAAUCUGAUUCCAUCUUCGUACCGCCUGACCCCGACGCAGUCGGAUCCGACUCUGGGAACCAAGCAGGUAGCUCGGGGACUUCGACAGGCGGCUCGGGGACUGCCAUAGUCGCACCCGGCCCGGGGACCUCAGAACCCGGCCCGGGGACUACCGCAGUCGGCCCGGGGACUGCAUCAACGCAACAAGCGGUGGCCGACUCGAACUCUUCACCACCCAGCCCACCCGCCCUGGUCGCAGUAGCCGUAUUGGCAAUAGAAGAAGUCACAGCUCCAUCAUGGGCCCAGCCCAUCCUCAACUUCCUGGUAAACAGAGAGCUGCCAACUGACGAGAUCUCGGCAAGACAAGUCCAACGCCGAGCCGGAGCAUACACAAUAAUGAACCGAGAGCUCAUUAGGCGCAGCGUCACUGGAGUCUUCCAGCGCUGCGUCGAGCCAGAGAAGGGCAUAGCAAUCCUCAAGGACAUCCACCAAGGCGAAUGCGGCCACCACGCGGCCUCAAGAUCACUCGUCGCCAAAGCUUUCCGCCAUGGAUUCUUCUGGCCGACUGCUUUGGAAGACGCCAAGGAGUUAGUCAAACACUGCAAAGGGUGCCAAGUCUUCAGCUCCAAGCAACACCUGCCGGCUUUCGCACUCAAAACCAUCCCCCUCACCUGGCCUUUUGCCGUCUGGGGACUGGACAUGGGGGGCCCAUUCAAGACGGCGCGCGGCGGCAUGACACAUCUGCUCGUCGCCGUGGACAAAUUUACCAAGUGGAUUGAAGCGAAGCCGAUCAAGAAACUGAAUGGGCCGACUGCCGUGACAUUCAUCGCAGAUAUUACAACCCGGUAUGGUGUACCACACAGCAUCAUCACCGACAACGGCACAAAUUUUGCCAAGGGAGCACUGGCACGUUUCUGCGCGACACAGGGCAUCCGACUGGACUUAGCGUCCGUUGCCCACCCGCAGUCAAACGGCCAAGUCGAGCGAGCAAACGGCCUCAUCCUCUCUGGAAUCAAGCCACGAUUGGUCGUGCCACUGGAGCGUUCGGCCGACUGUUGGCUCGACGAGCUGCCGGCCGUCCUCUGGAGUUUGCGCACUACCCCGAACAAAUCAACCGGCUUCACCCCUUUCUUCCUUGUAUAUGGUGCCGAGGCAGUCAUCCCAACUGACAUCGAGUUCGACUCACCUCGGGUCGCCAUGUACACGGAGGCGGAGGCCAAGGAAGCGCGAGAAGACUGCGUCGACCUGCUGGAAGAAGGUCGGCUGUUAGCCCUCAGCCGGUCCGCCAUCUACCAGAAGGGUUUACGCCGUUACCAUAGCCGGAAGGUCAAGCCAAGAUCCUUCCAAGAGGGUGAUCUUGUGCUCCGGCUGAUCCAGCGAACAGCCGGCCAGCACAAGCUCUCGGCCCCUUGGGAAGGCCCCUUCGUCAUCAGCAAGGCCUUAGGCAACGACUCCUACUACCUGAUCGACGCGCAGAAGCCGAAGGCACGCAAGAGAGAUGAUUCCGGCAAGGAGUCGGAAUGACCAUGGAACGCCAAUCUCCUCCGAAGAUUUUACAGUUAAAAUGCAGUAUGUACCACGCUACCUUUUGUAUUAAGUACGAGACAACGGGCCCCCCGAGGAGCACUCGGGGACUACCCCCUUUUAUCUAUGUAUGACGAGUAUCAUGCCUAUGAUUAUGUUACUACAUUUGUUUUCUCGUCCGGCACCGGGUUCGAUCAGUCGGCCUGGGGACUUGCCGCCUUGAGUUAUAUUCAAGUUCUACCUGCAGUCAGACAAGUAGUGUGUCGGCACCCAAGCCCUCUCUUGUUGAAAGUCGCAGCUCGAAGAAUCGACUGUCCGGCUGGCAAGAGCCAAAGGCAGGAAAGAAUGCCCACAUGAAAAAUGGCUAAGGACUAACGAACUUAUAUAACACAAGCCGGCCUCCCACCCCGCCAACCGGUUGUCAGAGCAGCCGGCUGGCCUGCUUCCCAUUCACCUUGCUACAAUCUAAGAAAGCUCGAGUACUUGUCCUCCCAAACGGCCAAGCCCUUCCCCAGCCACAGACUGCAGAGCAGCUGUCCGGCUGGGAAGGCGGCGACCAAGGGAGUGCGGCAAAGGAAACAGCCAAAAGGAUGAAAAGCAAGUAUGAACGGAAGCCAAGCACAUGCAUGAUUAUACUUACACAAAAGGCCUUCGAAAGGCCAGCAUUCAACAUAGUUUGAAUACACCCCCAGUGGGUGGAACUGCGCAAAUUUAAUAAAAAUUGUUCAAAGAGUAACGAGCAGGAAAGCAAAGACGGCGGAUCAGGCCAAGGGAGCAACAGGCGAGCCGGGCAGGUUGGUGGAGACGGUAGUGCUGGCCGGAGGAGUGGCCGGCUGGCGAGUCUCGGCAUGAUCGUCACCUAUUGCAGGCAGCACGCUCGCACGCGCCUCGUUGCUGGAGGCACGAUCAGGCUAAGGCUGGCUGGUCGCUCCAUCGUCUGGCACGAUGUCUUCACCAUCCUCCCGCUCUUCCUCUUCGCCCUCGUCGCUGGAAUCGAUCUCCUCCGCCGAGUCUUCACCUUCUGCCGGGUUCAGCCCGAACCACUCCUCCGGCUGAGCGACGCCGUCAUCAUUUACCUCAGGGGCAAAGGCACUGGUGUCGGUGUAGUCGGCGAUCCCCAAGGCGCGCUGGAUGAUAACCGGCCGCACCGCCUCCAGCUCCUCGUUGGCCUCCUGCCGCCAGGUGCUCAGCUGGGCCAAGUCCAGCCCAGAUACCAAGCUCGGACGAACUCUAGCGCCCGCCUGGCGCUGGACCGGGCUGCAGAGGCCUUCCAGGCCUCGAAGCGGCCGACUGCUACCUCCAGCCAGUCGGCAGUCCGACUGGGGGUGCGGGGAACUACCUCGCCGGGCCAGAGGGCGGCCAGCACCUGCGGCCCCGCACGCUGAAGACGGCGGAGCAUGCGGUAGGCCGGCUGGAGGCCGGCUUGAAUCGCCAGAAGCUGCUCCUCAAGCGACCGGCCAGCAUCCGGUGCGAUCUCAACCCCAGCCUGCCGUCGUGCAUCACGGAGAGCCUCGAUGGCUUGGUUGGCGGCAACGGAGUAACCAGGAAAGUAAUCUGCACAAAGAAAAAUAAGUAGCUCAAAGUCAGAAGACAGACCAGAUGACAGGGGGCGAGCAAAGGGACGAAGAGGAAGGUGGCCUACCGUCAAUCAAAUCUUCAAUCCGGCCAUAGCCUUCGCUCAGCGCUUGCCUCGCCUCAGCCCAGCUCCGCCUCGGUCUCAUAUUCGCCUUUGAGGGCGGCUUCGCUGUCCUGCGCCGUCUUCAGGGCCGCCUUAUGGCUCUCCUCCUGUCGGCCAGUUUUUUGGCCAGGCCAUCACGUUCCUGAGCCAAGGCGUUGCACUCGGCUUCCUUGGUGCGAAGGGCGGUCUGGGCCCCACCUAGCUGCUCCCUCAAAUCGGCAUUGGCCCCUGCAGAUAUGAAGAAGAAGAAGAAAGCAAUAAGGAAGAAGUCGUCAGGAAAGAUCCGACCCGACUGCUCAGCAGUCGGCCCGAAUCUCGGGGACUACACCCAGUGGGUGCGCUGACGCGCCCCCACAUGAGAUAAAAAAUGAAGCACUUACUCCGGAUCUCAGUCAGAUCAGUGGUCUUCUGGUUCAUCUCCCGGGCCUGGGAGUUGAAGGCAGCCGCGCGGAGGUUGUGAUAGUCCUGCAAAUAGGACAAAGGUGCGAAUAAGAACAAGACAUCAAUCAAAGUCUACUAAGAAGUUCCAAGCCGCCUGCUCAGCAGCCGACUCGGAACUCGGGGACUACACCUAGUGGGUGCGCUGACGCGCCCCCACGGAAGAAAUCAAGAGCGAUCGACGAAAAGCGGGAAGACUCACCCGAAUGGCCGACCGCGUUGCAAGAAACUCUUGAGUAUACUGCUUCAGCGCGGCGGCCUAGGACUGAAGCCGGUUCCGGACGUCCUGUGCCGCCACGUUCAGCACGGCCGUCCCACCGCCCGGCGUCCACCCCAGCGAGCUGACGCUGGCCGUCUCCAGAUCCUGGGCCGACGAGCUGGAGCCCGCGGCCUUCUACGGGUCCGGCGCUGAAGUCGCCUUCCCUGCGCGCCGACGAGACGGCGACAGGACCACAAGAUCCGCCCUCACAGUCGGCUCGCCUCCAGCUGGCUGCUCAGGCGGCGCGUCAGGCCGGCUGCCUUGGCCCGUUACAGUCGGCGAUGGCGGGGCUGCAUCCCUCUCCAGGACGACUGUGUCGCCCUCCUCCCUCUCCGUCGCCGGCUGGUCGCGGUCGGCUUCCUCUGGCGGGGGCACUGGGAUAUUGGGAGCCAUGGUGCGAAGGGGGAUGAUGACCUGCGGAGGCUGGUUACGCAGGGCCUCCGCCGCCCUCUCCGCGGCCGCAGCCUCCGCUUGAGCCUUGGCUGCUGCGUCGGCUUGCGCCUCUGCCGACUCCUCCGUCGUCUCCUGAGCCACCCUGGCGGCGGCCACCCUCUGCUCCUCCGCCUCCUGCUCCUCCCGCGCCUCCCGCACGUUCCGCUCCGUCGCCGCUAGGAGAUCGGCAUAGGGGUCCACGCGGCGGGUGCUCACAGACCCUCCCGUCGCUCCAACUACGGAGGCGGCAGUGGUCCGCUCGAGAGAAAGCGGAGCCCUGUUUGAUAAGUCAAGGAAAAUGCUUAGAAGAAUGCCAACCGAAGAGAAAAAAGAAAGGCGUGAGAGAAUUGACACUUACGCUGAAACCGCAUGCGGCUGCUUCACCACCUUGCGGAAGCGGGCUGCCUUCACGGCCGCCUCGUCCCGCUUGGUCGCCGCUGCAGAACCCUUGGGCUUCUACGGCCGACUGCCAAAGAGGGCCGGCGCGGCCCGGCGUUUCUGUGCGCCACCACGAACAGCCGGCGCUGCAGAUGAGCCCACGCCUUGAUGAUCGGGCGCCAGCUGACGGUGCAGAACGACUUCGGUCUCGUCGUCAUCCGGCCAGUCCUCGAAGCUGACCCCGAGCCCGGAGUCGCCUGCCUCGCCGCCUCCCCCUACGGCGUCGUCGUCUAGAGCGGCCGCCCCCAAGUCGGGAUCGUCCAAGUCGUCCGUCGCACGGUCGGGGACGAACUGGCGCUCCACCCCCGCGGCUCCGGCCGACGGUUGAAGGAGGGGGAUCUGUAAAAAACAAGCCGACUGGUCAAGAGUUGGCCAGCAUGAACUCGGCAACAAAGAGAAGAAGAAAAGAAGGGAAGCCUACCAAAGGCGGGGGAUUGGCGCGAGAGUACGGGUCCUUGCCGAACCGCCACUCCUCGGUGAGCUUGCAGUUGGAUAUAAUUCACCAUGUAAGAUACCUCGUCAUGAGGCAUCUCCUUGGGGCUUAGCCGACUUGGGUCGAAACGACCGCUCAUCUGGCAAAUCAUGUGAGGGCGGCCUUGGAGUGGGAGCACCCGGCGAUCCACGAAGACGGCUAUCAGGUCGGACCCGGUCAGGCCUUCCGACUGGAUCAGCACCCGGAGCCGUGCGAUAGCGGCGGCACCAGCCGGCGACAGCGUCUUGGCUCGGUAGGACCACGAAGGCCGCCUCCCAGCCGGCGGGCCGGCUGCGUAAGCCGGCAGGUUGACAAAGUCGCCUUGCGGAGCGACGUUCUUCAUGUAGAAGUAAGAUUUUUGCCAGAGCUUCACCGACUGGAUCAACGCGAUGGGCGGAAACGGGUUGUCGCCCGUCGGUCUCCGCACGGCGAUGAAAGCGCCGCAUGGGGCAGGCACGCCCGCGAUGACGGUGCCAAGCUUGGACUGGAAGAAUUCCCCCCAAAGUUCGAGGGUGGGGAGGACGCCAAGGAAGCCUUCGCACAGAGUGACGAAGGCCGACAGCAGCACCACCGUGUUUGGAGUAAGGUGGUGUGGCUGGAGAUUGUAGAACUCAAGAAAGGAGCGGAAGAAACCGCUCGCCGGCAGGCCAACGCUGUGCAGGCAGUGCGAGCGAAAGAUUACCCGCUCAUCUUCCUCCGGCGCCGGCGAGAUCUCCCUCUCCGGCGCGAGACGGACCCGCACAUAAUCUGUGCCCGGCAACCGCCGCGUCUUGCGGAGGAAGUCGACGUAGUCCUCGUGGACAUUGGAGCCAUCCCAGGAGCUGGACCGCGCCAUGAGGACGGAGAGGCGACGGGAAAAGCGCGACGGCGGAGGGUGCGCGAUUCAGCUGCAGCAAAGCCACGGCGCACCGAGAAGAUUGGUGGAAGGGCGGCGCGGUGGCGAGUAGCUGUGGCGACGGAGAGGAAGAAGUGCAAGAAAAUGGCGGAGCGAGGGCGAGCGUGCGAGCGUCUGCCGCUCCCCCUCCUCCCCCUACUUAUAGCCUCGUGCGGCGAAGCCGAGGAGGCGAGGCGUGGGGGGACGUGGGAUUAACUGCGCCCACUCCCCCAUGCCCCACGAUUAUUACGCCCUAACGACGUGCGAAAAUUGUCGUCGCAAGGCGAGCGGCCCAUUUGGGCUACAGAAGAUCCACACUUGGGACGAGGCAUGGAAGUGGUGGGCCCCGGUCUGCGGCGACGUCCUGUCGGGCGCGUGGGCUGGCAGGCCCUUCCAACCGAAGGGUGCCAUGUGGCGCGCGGGCGGCGAGCGGCCAGCCCGCAGCCUGGCUUGUGCGUCAGCUGGUUCCCGCCUUCAGACUUCAAAAAACCUCGCCGAGACGGCACGCCUGAAUGAAGCCAGCUCCUAGCUGCCAGCUCUUCGGGAUAGGUAGCUGAUUGAGCUUCUCGUUCCCUGUUCAGCCACGAAGCCCAACCAGCUUCGGGGACUACUGUCGGAGUAAAUGACCACGGGUAGCCUAGCCGGCUCCCCCUGGUUCCUCAAAACAUGACGGGCCGAUCAAGCCUUCAAGCACCCAAGGCAUGGGGCCGCCUUCCCUUGGCCGGCUGUCUUACAGGCCGACUACCAGAAGGCGGCCCGGCCCUAAAACUCUCAUGAAGAAAGCCACGAGAGGGUCGACUCCAAGAAGCCGGCCACGAGAAGACCGACUCCAAGAAUCCGAACCCUGGCAAGCGGCCAAGAUCGUGCCCUCAAAGCCUGCACCCACAUAACGGUGAUGAGACGGGGCGUGGCAACAGUGAAGCCUGCCACCCCCGAAUCCCGGAGCACGCAUGGCCACAGCACGCCGUACGGGUCAGCCAUGACCCGUCCGGCGUGGCACUGUUGCCAUGCUGACCAUGACGCCACCCACGACAGGCUGUCAGUACGGCCCGCGGGCGGCGGGCCCCUUCAGUCAGAGAGACACCCGAAGGCGGCCACGCCUCCUCCAGUCGGCCUGGGACGUAGCCGGCUCUCACCAGCCGGCUCGCUCCCUCCCUCGAAGUACGCGCACCAUUAAGGAGACAAGACGAGGUAAGUGUUGGGGAACGUAGUAAUUUCAAAAAAAUUCCUACGCACACGGAAGAUCAUGGUGAUGCAUAGCAACGAGAGGGGAGAGUGUUUUCCACAUACCCUCGUAGACCGAAAGCGGAAGCGUUAGAACAACGCGGUUGAUGUAGUCGUACGUCUUCAUGGCCCUACCUAUCAAGCACCGAAACUACGGCACCUCCGAGUUCUAGCACACGUUCAGCUCGAUGACGAUCCCCGGACUCCGAUCCAGCAGAAUGUCAGGGAAGAGUUCCGUCAGCACAACGGCGUGGUGACGAUCUUGAUGUUCUACUGUCGCAGGGCUUCGCCUAAGCACCGCUACAAUAUUAUCGAGGACUUUGGUGGAGGGGGGCACCGCACACGGCUAAGAGAUCAAGAGAUCAAUUGUUGUGUCUAUGAGGUGCCCCCUCCCCCGUAUAUAAAGGAGUGGAGGAGAGGGGGCCGGCCAAGGGGGUGGCGCGCCCUAGGGGGGAGUCCAACCCCAAACGGGAGUAGGACUCCCCCCUUUCCUAUUAGGAGUAGGAGAGGGAAGGAAGAGAGGGGAGGGAAGAAGGAAAGGGGGGCCGGCCCCCCUCCCAAUUCGGAUUGGGCUUGGGGGCGCGCACCCUCCAUUGCUCCUUCUCCCUCCUUUCCACUAAGGCCCAAUAAGGCCCAUAUACCUACGGGGGGGUUCCGAUAACCUCCCGGAGCUCCGGUAUAGUCCCAAUCUCACCCGGAACCUUUCCGGUGUCCAAUAUAUCGAUCUUUAUGUCUCGACCAUUUCGAGACUCCUCGUCAUGUCCGUGAUCACAUCCGGGACUCCGAACAACCUUCGGUACAUCAAAAACCAUAAACUCAUAAUAAAACUGUCAACGAAACCUUCAGCGCCCAGACCCUAUGGGUUCGAGAACUAUGUAGACAUGACCUAGAACUGUUUCCGGUCAAUAACCAAUAGCGGAACCUGGAUGCUCAUAUUGGCUCCUACAUAUUCUACGAAGAUCUUUAUCGGUCAAACCGCAUAACAACAUACGUUGUUCCCUUUGUCAUCGGUAUGUUACUUGCCCAAGAUUUGAUCGUCGGUAUCUCAAUACCUAGUUCAAUCUCAUUACCGGCAAGUCUCUUUACUCGUUAUGUAAUGCAUCAUUCCGUAACUAACUCAUUAGCUACAUUGCUUGCAAGGCUUAUAGUGAUGUGCAUUACCGAGAGGGCCCAGGGAUACCUCUCCGACAAUCGGAGUGACAAAUCCUAAUCUCGAAAUACGUCAACUCAACAAGUACCUUUGGAGACACCUGUAGAGCACCUUUAUAAUCACCCAGUUACGUUGUGACGUUUGGUAGCACACAAAGUGUUCCUCCGGUAAACGGGAGUUACAUAAUCUUGUAGUCAUAGGAACAUGUAUAAGUCAUGAAGAAAGCAAUAGCAACAUACUAAACGAUCAAGUGCUAAGCUAACGGAAAGGGUCAAGUCAAUCACAUCAUUCUCCUAAUGAUGUGAUCCCGUUAAUCAAAUGACAACUCGUGUCUAUGGUUAGGAAACUUAACCAUCUUUGAUUUACGAGCUAGUCAAGUAGAGGCAUUCUAGUGACACUAUGUUUGUCUAUGUAUUCACACAUGUAUUAUGUUUCCGAGUAAUACAAUUCUAGCAUGAAUAAUAAACAUUUAUCAUGAUAUGAGGAAAUAAAUAAUAACUUUAUUAUUGCCUCUAGGGCAUAUUUCCUUCAGUCUCCCACUUGCACUAGAGUCAAUAAUCUAGAUUACACAGUAAUGAUUCUAACACCCAUGGAGUCUUGGUGUUAAUCAUGUUUUGCUCGUGGAAGAGGCUUAGUCAACAGGUCUGCUACAUUCAGAUCCGUAUGUAUCUUGCAAAUCUCUAUGUCUCCAACCUGGACUUGGUCCCGGAUGGAAUUGAAGCGUCUCUUGAUGUGCUUGGUUCUCUUGUGAAAUCUGGAUUCCUUUGCCAAGGCAAUUGCACCUGUAUUGUCACAAAAGAUUUUCAUUGGACCCGAUGCACUAGGUACGACACCUAGAUCGGAUAUGAACUCCUUCAUCCAGACUCCUUCAUUUGCUGCUUCAGAAGCAGCUAUGUACUCCGCUUCACAUGUAGAUCCCGCUACGACGCUUUGUUUAGAACUGCACCAACUGACAGCUCCACCGUUUGAUAUAAACACGUAUCCGGUUUGCGAUUUAGAAUUGUCUGGAUCAGUGUCAAAGCUUGCAUCGACGUAACCAUUUACGACUAGCUCUUUGUCACCUCCAUAAACGAGAAACAUAUCCUUAGUCCUUUUCAGGUAUUUCAGGAUGUUCUUGACCGUUGUCCAGUGAUCCACUCAUGGAUUACUUUGGUACCUCCCUGCUAAACUAAUAGCAAGGCACACAUCAGGUCUGGUACACAGCAUUGCAUACAUGAUAGAGCCCAUGGCUGAAGCAUAGGGAACUUCUUUCAUUUUCUCUCUAUCUUCUGCAGUGGUCGGGCAUUGAGUCUGACUCAACUUUACACCUUGUAAUACAGGCAAGAAUCCUUUCUUUGCCUGAUCCAUUUUGAACUUUUUCAAAACUUUAUCAAGGUAUGUGCUUUGUGAAAGUUCAAUCAAGCGUCUUGAUCUAUCUCUAUAGAUCUUGAUGCCCAAUAUGUAAGCAGCUUCACCGAGGUCUUUCAUUGAAAAACUCUUAUUCAAGUAUCCCUUUAUGCUAUCCAGAAAUUCUAUAUCAUUUCCAAUUAACAAUAUGUCAUCUACAUAUAAUAUCAGAAAUGCUACAGGGCUCCCACUCACUUUCUUGUAAAUACAGGCUUCUCCAAAAGUCUGUAUAAAACAAUAUGCUUUGAUCACACUAUCAAAGCGUUUAUUCCAACUCCGAGAUGCUUGCACCAGUCCAUAAAUGGAUCGCUGGAGCUUGCACACUUUGUUAGCACCUUUUGGAUCGACAAAACCUUCCGGCUGCAUCAUAUACAACUCUUCUUACAGAAAUCCAUUCAGGAAUGCAGUUUUGACAUCCAUUUGCCAAAUUUCAUAAUCAUAAAAUGUGGCAAUUGCUAACAUGAUUCGGACAGACUUAAGCAUCGCUACGGGUGAGAAAGUCUCAUCGUAGUCAACCCCUUGAACUUGUCGAAAACCUUUUGCAACAAGUCAAGCUUUGUAGACAGUAACAUUACCAUCAGCGUCAGUCUUCUUCUUAAAAAUCCAUUUAUUCUCGAUGGCUUGCCGAUCAUCGGGCAAGUCAACCAAACUCCACACUUUGUUCUCAUACAUGGAUCCCAUCUCAGAUUUCAUGGCUUCAAGCCAUUUUGCGGAAUCUGGGCUCAUCAUCGCUUCCUCAUAGUUCGUAGGCUCGCCAUGGUCAAGUAACAUGACCUCCAAAAUAGGAUUACCAUACCACUCUGGCGCGGAUCUUACUCUGGUUGACCUACGAGGUUCUGUAGUAACUUAUUCUGAAGUUUCAUGAUCAUCAUCAUUAGCUUCCUCACUUAUUGGUGUAGUCGUCACAGGAACCGGUUUCUGUGAUGAACUAUUUUCCAAUAAAGGAGCAGGUACAGUUACCUCAUCAGGUUCUACUUUUCUCCCACUCACUUCUUUCGAGAGAAACUCCUUCUCUAAAAAGGAUCCAUUCUUUGCAACAAAUGUCUUGCCUUCGGAUCUAUGAUAGAAGGUGUACCCAACAGUUUCCUUUGGGUAUCCUAUGAAGACACAUUUCUCCGAUUUGGGUUCGAGCUUAUCAGGUUGAAGCUUUUUCACAUAAGCAUCGCAGCCCCAAACUUUAAGAAAUGACAACUUUGGUUUCUUGCCAAACCAUAGUUCAUAAGGCGUCGUCUCAACGGAUUUUGAUCGUGCCCUAGUACGAUUACGACGUUCGAACACACCAUUACGCUGUGGUGUUCCGGGUGGCGUGAGUUGCGAAACUAUUCCGCAUUGCUUCAAAUGUAAACCAAACUCGAACCUCAAAUAUUCUCCUCCACGAUCAGAUCGUAGAAACUUUAUUUUCUUGUUACGAUGAUUUUCAACUUCACUCUGAAAUUCUUUGAACUUUUCAAAUGUUUCAGACUUAUGUUUCAUUAAGUAGAUAUACCCAUAUCUGCUCAAAUCAUCUGUGAAGGUGAGAAAAUAACGAUAUCUGCCACGAGCCUCAACAUUCAUUGGACCACAUACAUCAGUAUGUAUGAUUUCCAACAAAUCAGUUGCUCUCUCCAUAGUACCGGAGAACGAUGUUUUAGUCAUCUUGCCCAUGAGGCAUGGUUCGCAAGUACCAAGUGAUUCAUAAUCAAGUGAUUCCAAAAGUCCAUCAGUAUGGAGUUUCUUCAUGCGCUUUACACCAAUAUUACCUAAACGGCAGUGCCACAAAUAAGUUGCACUAUCAUUAUCAACUCUGCAUCUUUUGGCUUCAACAUUAUGAAUAUGUGUAUCAUUACUAUCGAGAUUCAUCAAAAAUAGACCACUCUUUAAAGGUGCAUGACCAUAAAAGAUAUUACUCAUAUAAAUAGAACAACCAUUAUUCUCAGAUUUAAAUGAAUAACUGUCUAGCAUCAAACAAGAUCCAGAUAUAAUGCUCAUGCUCAACGCUGGCACCAAAUAACAAUUAUUUAGGUCUAAAACUAAUCCCGAAGGUAGAUGUAGAGGUAGCGUGCCGACGGCGAUCACAUCGACUUUGGAACCAUUUCCCACGCGCAUCGUCACCUCGUCCUUAGCCAGUGUCCGCUUAAUCUGUAGUCCCUGUUUCGAGUUGCAAAUAUUAGCAACAGAUCUAGUAUCAAAUACCCAGGUGCUACUGCGAGCUCUGGUAAGGUACACAUCAAUAACAUGUAUAUCACAUAUACCCUUGUUCACCUUGCCAUCCUUCUUAUCCGCCAAAUACUUGGGGUAGUUCCGCUUCCAGUGACCAGUCUGCUUGCAGUAGAAGCACUCAGUCUCAGGCUUAGGUCCAGACUUGGGUUUCUUCUCCUGAGCAGCAACUUGUUUGCUGUUCUUCUUGAAGUUCCCCUUCUUUUUCCCUUUGCCCUUUUUCUUGAAACUGGUGGUCUUAUUGACCAUCAACACUUGAUGCUCCUUCUUGAUUUCUACCUCCGCAGCUUUUAGCAUUGCGAAGAGCUCGGGAAUUGUCUUUUCCAUCCCUUGCAUAUUAUAGUUCAUCACGAAGCUCUUAUAGCUUGGUGGCAGUGAUUGAAGAAUUCUGUCAAUGACGCUAUCAUCCGGAAGAUUAACUCCCAGUUGAAUCAAGUGAUUGUUAUACCCAGACAUUCUGAGUAUAUGCUCAUUGACAGAACUAUUCUCCUCCAUCUUGCAGCUAUAGAACUUAUUGGAGACUUCAUAUCUCUCAAUCCGGGCAUUUGCUUGAAAUAUUAACUUCAACUCCUGGAACAUCUCAUAUGCUCCAUGACGUUCAAAACGUCGUUGAAGUCCCGAUUCUAAGCCGUAAAGCAUGGCACACUGAACUAUCGAGUAGUCAUCAGCUUUGCUCUGCCAGACAUUCACAACAUUUGGUAUUGCUCCUGCAGCAGGUUUGGCACCCAGCGGUGCUUCCAGGACGUAAUUCUUCUGUGCAGCAAUGAGGAUAAUCCUCAAGUUACAGACCCAGUCCGUGUAAUUGCUACCUUCAUCUUUCAACUUUGCUUUCUCAAGGAACGCAUUAAAAUUCAACGGAACAACAGCACGAGCCAUCUAUCUACAACAAACAUAGACAAGCAAAAUACUAUCAGGUACUAAGUUCAUGAUAAAUUUAAGUUCAAUUAAUCAUAUUACUUAAGAACUCCCACUUAGAUAGACAUCUCUCAAAUCAUCUAAGUGAUCACGUGAUCCAAAUCAACUAAACCAUAACCGAUCAUCACGUGAAAUGGAGUAGUUUUCAAUGGUGAACAUCACUAUGUUGAUCAUAUCUACUAUAUGAUUCACGCUCGACCUUUCGGUCUCAGUGUUCCGAGGCCAUAUCUGUAUAUGCUAGGCUCGUCAAGUUUAACCUGAGUAUUCUGCGUGUGCAAAACUGGCUUGCACCCGUUGUAGAUGGACGUAGAGCUUAUCACACCCGAUCAUCACGUGGUGUCUGGCACGACGAACUUUGGCAACGGUGCAUACUCAGGGAGAACACUUUUAUCUUGAAAUUUAGUGAGAGAUCAUCUUAUAAUGCUACCGUCAAUCAAAGCAAGAUAAGAUGCAUAAAAGAUAAACAUCACAUGCAAUCAAUAUAAGUGAUAUGAUAUGGCCAUCAUCAUCUUGUGCUUGUGAUCUCCAUCUCCGCAGCACCGUCAUGAUCACCAUCAUCACUGGCGCGACACCUUGAUCUCCAUCGUAGCAUCGUUGUCGUCUCGCCAACUAUUGCUUCUACAACUAUCGCUACCGCUUAGUGAUAAAGUAAAGCAAUUACAGGGCGAUUGCAUUUCAUACAAUAAAGCGACAACCAUAUGGCUCCUGCCAGUUGCCGAUAACUCGGUUACAAAACAUGAUCACCUCAUACAAUAAAAUAUAGCAUCACGUCUUGACCAUAUCACAUCACAACAUGCCCUGCAAAAACAAGUUAGACGUCCUCUACUUUGUUGUUGCAAAUUUUACGUGGCUGCUACGGGCUAAGCAAGAACUGUUCUUACCUACGCAUCAAAACCACAAUGAUAGUUCGUCAAGUUAGUGUUGUUUUAACCUUCACAAGGAUCGGGCGUAGCCACACUCGGCUCAACUAAAGGUUGAGAAACAGACACCGGCUAGUCACCUGUGUGCAAAGCACGACGGUAAAACCAGUCUCGCGUAAGCGUACGCGUAAUGUCGGUCCGGGCCGCUUCAUCCAACAAUACCGCUGAACCAAAGUAUGACAUGCUGGUAAGCAGUAUGACUUGUAUCGCCCACAACUCACUUGUGUUCUACUCGUGCAUAUAACAUCAACGCAUAAAACCUAGGCUCGGAUGCCACUGUUGGGGAACGUAGUAAUUUCAAAAAAAAUCCUACGCACAUGGAAGAUCAUGGUGAUGCAUAGCAACGAGAGAGGAGAGUGUUGUCCACGUACCCUCAUAGACCGAAAGCGGAAGCGUUAGAACAACGCGGUUGAUGUAGUCGUACGUCUUCACGGCCCGACCGAUCAAGCACCAAAACUACGGCACCUCCGGGUUCUAGCACACGUUCAGCUCGAUGACGAUCCCCGGACUCCGAUCCAGCAGAAUGUCGGGGAAGAGUUCCGUCAGCACGAUGGUGUGGUGAGGAUCUUGAUGUUCUACUGUCGCAGGGCUUCGCCUAAGCACCGCUACAAUAUUAUCGAGGACUUUGGUGGAGGGGGGCACCGCACACGGCUAAGAGAUCAAGAGAUCAAUUGUUGUGUCUAUGAGGUGCCCCCCUCCCCCGUAUAUAAAGGAGUGGAGGAGAGGGGGCCGGCCAAGGGGGUGGCGUGCCCUAGGGGGGGAGUCCAAGCCCAACCGGGAGUAGGACUCCCCCCUUUCCUAUUAGGAGUAGGAGAGGGAAGGAAGAGAUGGGAGGGAAGAAGGAAAGGGGGGCCGGCCCCCCUCCCAAUUCGGAUUGGGCUUGGGGGGGCGCCCCCUCCUUUGCUCCUUCUCCCUCCUUUCCACUAAGGCCCAAUAAGGCCCAUAUACCUACGGGGGGGUUCCGAUAACCUCCUGGAGCUCCGGUAUAGUCCCAAUCUCACCCGGAACCUUUCCGGUGUCCAAAUAUAGUCGUCCAAUAUAUCGAUCUUUAUGUCUCGACCAUUUCGAGACUCCUCGUCAUGUCCGUGAUCACAUCCGGGACUCCGAACAACCUUCGGUACAUCAGAAACCAUAAACUCAAAAUAAAACUGUCAACGAAACCUUAAGCGUGCGGACCCUACGGGUUCGAGAACUAUGUAGACAUGACCUAGAACUGUUUCCGAUCAAUAACCAAUAGCGGAACCUGGAUGCUCAUAUUGGCUCCUACAUAUUCUACGAAGAUCUUUAUCGGUCAAAUCGCAUAACAACAUACGUUGUUCCCUUUGUCAUCGGUAUGUUACUUGCCCGAGAUUUGAUCGUCGGUAUCUCAAUACCUAGUUCAAUCUCGUUACCGGCAAGUCUCUUUACUCGUUAUGUAAUGCAUCAUUCCGUAACUAACUCAUUAGCUACAUUGCUUGCAAGGCUUAUAGUGAUGUGCAUUACCGAGAGGGCCCAAAGAUACCUCUCCGACAAUCGGAGUGACAAAUCCUAAUCUCGAAAUACGUCAACUCAACAAGUACCUUUGGAGACACCUGUAGAGCACCUUUAUAAUCACCCAGUUACGUUGUGACGUUUGGUAGCACACAAAGUGUUCCUCCGGUAAACGGGAGUUACAUAAUCUCAUAGUCAUAGGAACAUGUAUAAGUCAUGAAGAAAGCAAUAGCAACAUACUAAACGAUCAAGUGCUAAGCUAACGGAAUGGGUUAAGUCAAUCACAUCAUUCUCCUAAUGAUGUGAUCCCGUUAAUCAAAUGACAACUCAUGUCUAUGGUUAGGAAACUUAACCAUCUUUGAUUUACGAGCUAGUCAAGUAGAGGCAUUCUAGUGACACUAUGUUUGUCUAUGUAUUCACACAUGUAUUAUGUUUCCGGGUAAUACAAUUCUAGCAUGAAUAAUAAACAUUUAUCAUGAUAUGAGGAAAUAUAACUUUAUUAUUGCCUCUAGGGAAUAUUUCCUUCAGUAAGGCUACAGUGGGAGCCCGCCAGGUGGCGGCACUGUAGCCAUGCUUACCUCGACAAAGCCCUCGUCAUCAAGAGUGAGGCAACAGUAACCAGCUCCUGACAAGACCCCCAAGCGGUGGGACCUGCCUGUCGACCAAAAGGCCGGCAGCCGGCGGGACCCACCAGUCGACGUGCCCCAGCGGCUGACGGAGAAGCCGGCGAACAUAGACACUGACGGCUAGGGCCCACGCCCAGCCGGAUUACCAUUGUACCCCUGGGGGGUAGGCCUAUAUAAACCCCCAGGGCACCCAUGCAAAGGGUGGAUCUCUGAUAGUUUCACACACUUCAUUGAGGGGAGAAAAGAGCUAGCCUUGCCCUUCUUCCUCCUCUCACCGAACAGCUCAAGGAGCCUCUUGUAGCCACUUGUUGAUCUAGUGAUCAUGCGGAGACCCCGCAGAGCAGGAUUAGGGGUGUUAUCUCCACGGAGAGCCCCAAACCUGGGUAAGAUCCGCCGGCGUGCAUGUCUUCGCCUCAUCCCGUUUCCAGGCACCGGCGAUGUCUUAUUGGCUCCCACAAUGAUAAGCCACCCGUUGGCAUAUGUCGCACCUACCACCCGACACUUGCACAUGAACUACAUCAUCGGGGUUGAGCAGAUAUCUCAUAUCUCUGUCGCUAACCCGUACUACAUGCACAAGGGCUUCUUGGGAGUCUGCGCAAAGCAUGGUGAAUACGCGAGGGAUUACAUCGUGAGUUUCAUGCUCGCCAAUAAGGACAAGGAGGAGAUUCUCGUGCCUUAUCAUCCCGUGUAAGUCAGCCGCGCUGCUAUCCUUCCUUCGAUUUCAAUCAUUCAUUUGCACGGUGGAGGCUAAUUAAUUUGAGGUGUACUUAUUUUGCGCAGCGGCGGGCGCGCCGUCCUCAUCAUCCUCUACCCCUGAUUCUCCCACGCUCUUUACUUGGACUCAUCGAAGAACAUUCACAAAAAGGAUUACACCCACAUCAAGGAUGUUCUCGACAGUGCUAUGUUUUACUACCAAGCAAGGGGUGGAGAGGUCAGGGACAAGAAGAGAAGGGGCGGCAGGGUCGCCUUCAGCCAUAAGACCGACUUCUGCUGCAUCCAGCAACCGAACGAUUCUCUUAAUGAUGGAUUCUAUGUCCUACACCACAUGCUGGAGUACAGACGGGAUCACCAGAACCUUCGCAUGUCACCUAGAUCCGGCGAUGCCCAUAUUCUGCAACGGGCAAAGGACAUAGGAGAUAUCGAGGAUCAUCGACUUCGAGCUGAGUUCUAUAACAUCCAGCACGAACUUGCCCAAAUCAUCAUGAAGGAGGUCGUCGGAAAAACAGGGAUGUUCUACGGAGAAGGACAAAUGUCGCGGGAAGACGUCUGAACAUGGAUAGCCUCUCAGCGUCUCGACAUGAAGCCUUUCACUAAGCUCGAGGACUAUCUCCCUGACAUGGAUGGAUGGCACGACAUGGUGGAGUGAUUGUCGAUAUAUGACAAUGUGUCCGUUUGUCCAUACUUUCUGUGUGACAAAACUUUGAGUUAUGCACGGUGAAACUUUAUUUGUGAUGUAAUUAAACCGUCCUCCUCCUCGACUAGCGAAAAUCACUCUAGUUAGGACAUUUUGGGUACGAUGAACUUUGUUAUUUAUGCUUAUGAUAUGUUGUUUCUAUUUUUGCCAAGUCUGUCUCUUUCUGUUGCUCAACUAUAUAUGUUGCAUAUCAUCGACUCAUGUGACGAUGCAGGUGCAUAGAUCAUAGAUGGCAAAGAAGUGCUACUCCAGGAGUAUAUAUACGACGAGUGGCCGGAGUGUCAGGCCCAGGUGUACCGGUUUCCGGUUUCCGAGCGACAGGCAGUAGUUAGUUUAGGUUCACGCUAAUGCGAGAGAGGGAUACGAACUCAUGUACUCAAAGUGAUAGCUCUUCUCGCGUAUAUCAUUGUUUAGAUGGAUGACGAUGUAUUUGCAAGUAAUCGAGACUUGUAUCGCUAUUUUCGAGAUGAUGACGAGAGACCACUUUGUGCUGGAUGAUGAUUAUGAUGAUGACAUGAUUUGAUGAGACUAAUUGUAUGUAUAUGCUAUGAUUACAUUUGUAUGUGUAUGAUAUGCUAAAGAUUAUUGUAUAAAGCUUAUUCAAAUACAAAACAAAUAUGUAGGGAAAAAAACUAAUAAAACUAGUAGUAGCGAGGGGGGAAAAUUUAGCAGUAGCGCCGCCUUACCAGUAGCGCUUCCCUGUAAACAGCGCCGCAGAUAAUAUCAGCAGCGCCCUUUUCUAAAGAGCGCUACAGCUAUUCAUGUAUAGCAGUAGUGUGAGACAACAGGCGCUACUGCUAUACGUUAGCUGUAGCGCCUUGUUAGUAGCGUCAGUUCCCGCGCUACUAAGAGGCCCAAAACCCGCGGUGCUGCUAGGCUUUUCCCUAGUAGUGUAGGAGUGCUAGCUUAGCAGCUUUAAUUCUCUUACUAGCAGGGCAGAGGCGCGGCGUGCCCAUCGUUGAUCAAAUUGUAACUUAAUCUAUUAUUGAUCGAGUCUGCUACCAUAUUGUAUUGUGUUUUCAUAGGUAACUUUUGUGUAAAUUUCUGGUGAGCAGGUAUAUACUUAUGGCUAGAUUGUAUGCUUGUGUGAGAAAGGUACAAUAGAUAAUCUGGAUUGUUUAAUUCGAUUACAUAGCUAGGUGCAUACAUGUGUGUAUGAACAUAGAAAUACAAUAAAAGAAGAUCAUAUUAUGUGCAGGCAAGAAGAAAUUUGUGGUUUGAGAGAUUUCUCGAUUUCUACAUUUUCAUAAGGGGUGGAGAGCAGCCACGGGAGGGAUGGGGGAAGCAAUUGGAGGGGGAUAGGAGCAGCCAUGAGAAGAGACAAAUGAACAACGGGAGAGGAAAAUAGAGAAGCUAUUGCUCGAGGAAGUGUACUGGGUGAAGAUAAGAGAAUGAAGAGAGCUUGAGGUACUCAAAAAACUCACUCGUGUCACCGCUGCCGAUGCAAAGGGUUUACACCCUCGCUGGGGAACUUGACGGUGUUGCACGUUCUAAUCCAUCGGGAGGGAAUCAAGAAGGAGUGCCGCUAGAAGAAAAUCGAUCGGGAGAGGAGCCGCCAGGGUUUGGGGAAUGGUAGGCUGCAUCGUGCUACGAUGUUGCCUCACCCUUGUCCUUUCCGUGUUCUCUUGGCUGCGGAGAUGCGAAGACGAAGGCAUGGUCCAUAAGGGCCGAGGCACAUUCAUACUCGGUGGAGACCUUGGAUAGCGGAUUAAGAUCCAACCCAUGGCGACGAAAGAAUUCAGACCAAACUAUUCUAGUGGAGAGAGGUGGGAGGAGACCGGGAGAGAAAGUGGAAGCGGAAUCGACGGGUGUUUUUUAGAGGAAGUAGCACGUGUAACACAAGGCGGUGCCACCGAAAGUUGGAUGUAGUCUCUAAAAUACUUCAUGUAGUUGUCUAUGGUAGUUUCUAAGAAAAUGAACUGACUACGAACAUAUAAAACAUAAAUUGAGGUACUUUGAUAGUAACCCUAUAACAGAAAUUGAAAAAAAUCAAAUUGUAUACAAUAAUGUCGAUAUAAUCACCGUAUACACCUGUUUAAUUAUAAGUACACUUUAUACUGGAAUUUAUGAAGACUUUACACUGCAACCAAAAUAGAAGGACCUAAUUUUUUUCCUGGCCUCGUUGAAUGGCGUCUCAACGCAAAAUUUUGCAAAAAAGUAGAAGGGUUUCUCACCUUUGAUGUAAUAUCUUUUUUAGUUCUUUUGGUAAUUUUAUCUAAAAAGGAAAAAAUGAAAGUAUUGUUCACACAAUAGUACUAUUCACCCACAAUUAUUGUUUCCCAGAAAAGUGAUGUAAUAUAUAUUUUUAGUUUUUGGUAAUUUUAUCUUAAGGGCAUCUCCAAAGCUGACCUGCAAAUAUCUUUGGUAUAUGUCUGUUUUUAUAUUCGGAUGUGGUCCGCGGACAUGAUGCGGGAGGGAAUCAUCCAAUGCUAAUCACAUAGUAUCUGGUUGGUAGGAGAAAAGGUAUAGGUGGGGAUCAUGUCCGCGGACAUGAUGCGGGAGGGAGCCGUCCAAUGCUAAUCACACGGUAUCCGGUUGAUAGGAGAAAAAAUAGGUGAAGACCAUGCAUGUGGUAGGAUAUUUCUGGUUUAGUGUCUGGUUGGGAAGAGAGAUAGAGGAGAGAGAGACCAUGCAUGUGCAGUUGGGAGGAGAGAGAGAAGAUAUGGACCAUGCAUGUGAUUAGUCAAGUGCAUGUCCGGACUCCGGCAAAGCCCCAUGUUUGUCUCUUAGAUACCGGAAUCCACCGCUAAGCGGAUAUAUACAUGUUUUUGUUGGAUGAAAAAAGUGGUCCGGACGCUGUGGUCCAGACAUAUAGUGGGGGUUUGAGGGUUGUUUUGCGUCCGGACUGCUAAGCUGACAAAUACAGGUUUUUGUUGGAUGACAAAACUGAUCCGAACACUGUGAUGCGGAUAUAUAGUGAAGAUUUGAAGGUUCGUUUUGGACAUUUUUUAAAAAGGGUUGUGAAGGUACUGUUCACAAACAAUAGUGUACGCCCAUAAUUUCUAUUUAUCCACUAUUACCGUUCAUACGAAUGUACUUUCACUAGGUUACUAUUUCUUUUUAACAUUAAUACAGACGCAAGCCCUCAUACAUACGUGCAUACACUCAUCCCUAUGAACGCACACACGUACACCCUACCCCUAUGAGCACCUUCGAGAGACUGGGUCGGCAUGUCAUCUUAAAAUUUACGAAGUCACCUAGGCACCUCAUCGUCGACGGGAACGUCUCCUUCCACUGAAAGCACGUCGCCGAAAAUUCUGAAAUAAAUUCAGAAAUAAAGUGAGCACAGAAUUUAAACCCACUGUCACUUUAACCAUCCAACCACAACAUACACGUGCAUGCCGGGAAAAGCCCCGGCCACAACGGCCAUCGCACGAGAGGAGCUCCUCCUUGACCACAAGGAGAGAGUUUGUUCAUUCAAGACUUGUUUCAGUCGUAACGAAAAGCAAUAAAGCAUGGCAUUGCGCUGUGGCGCCACUGAUAUACGAUCGGCCCCGGUCUCCUUGAUGUGUUGAGAGGAAAUGAGGACACAUCAGCUCGGGCAUGUAUGGGAACUUGGGACCAAGAUACAGCAUCGCACAUGAGGCCCCUUUGCUCCUUUGUUGUUAGUGUUGGCCAUGUCACACGAUGGUGUUGUCCUACAGAAAACGCAAAAGCACAAGGUGGUGUGGGCGUUGGCAAGUGGGGCGCGGGGCCCUGCCUGCUUGUUCUUCGGAUUGCAUGCCAACUAGUGCCAAGUCAUACCUUAUUUUUCCUACUACUUAGGCCAACUCCAGCGCGCCUGUCCAUUCCAUUUGGGUUGAAUCGGACAGAAACGCUAGCCCAACGCACCACCGUAAACGGACGGAUGUUCGUUGUACAGUCUGCCGCUACCAUUUCCGACCCAAAAUUUGGGUUGGAUUUGCGUCGACGCGCACACGGCACUAAUGCGUGCGACGCCCUCCCUUGUCCUUCUCCCUGGGCCGCUUGUCGGUGGCACGUCGUCCAUUCUUCCCCUCCCCCUCAACACUCGACUCCCCUAGCCUCGCUGCCGCAACCCACUUCCGGCGCUUUGAUGUCUACUACGCAGCCUUUUUUAGACUCGUGUUGGGCCUCGAAGCACAUAUUUUGUACAACGGUAGCAAAUUUCUCUCAAGUGGAUGACCUAAGAUUUAUCAAUCUGUGGGAGGCGUAGAAUAAAGAUGGUCUCUCUCAAACAACCCUGCAACCAAAUUACAAAUAGUCUCUUGUGUCCCCAACACACCCAAUACAAUGGUAAAUUGUAUAGGUGUAUUAGUUCGGCGAAGAGAUUGUGAUACAAGUGUAGUAUGGAUAGUAGAUAUAGGUUUUUGUAAUAUGAAAAAUAUAAAAACAGCAAGGUAACUAGUAACAAAAGUGAGCAGAAACGGUAUUGCAAUGCUUGAAAACAAGGCCUAGGGUUCAUACUUUCACUAGUACAAAUUCUCUCAACAAUGAUAACAUAAUUAAACCAUAUGGAAAUCCCUCAACGUGCAACAAAGAAUCACUCCAAAGUUCCUAUCGGAGAACGUAGGAAGAAAACGUGCAUCAACCCCUAUGCAUAGAUUACCACAAUGUCACAUUGGGAAUCCGCAAGUUGAGUGCCAAAACAUAUAUCAAGUGAAUCAACAGAACAUCCCAUUGUCACCACAGAUAUCUCAUCGCAAGACAUAUAUCAAGUAUUCUCAAAUCCAAUACUCAAUCCAACAUAACAAAACCUCAAUUCAUCACAACAAGAGAUGGAGGGGAAGAAACACCAUAUGAUCCAACUACAAAAAAAGAGCUCAUGGUACAUCAAGAUCGUGCCAAAUAAAGAACACGAGAGAGUGAUCAAACACAUAGCUACUGGUAUAUACCCUCAGCCCCGAGGGUGAACUACUCCCUCCUCGUCAUGGAAACCGCCGGGAUGAUGAAGAUGGCCUCCGACGAUGAUUUCCCCCUCAGGCAGGGUGUCAGAACGGGCUCCCGAUUGGUUUUUCGUAGCUACAGAGUUUUGCGGCGGCGGAACUUCUGAUCUAGAGUUCUUUUCGGAAGUUUCUAUAUUUAUCAGAAUUUUUGGUGUCAGAAACAAUAGGGGGGGUGCCCGAGGGGCCCACAAGCCCUCAGGGCGCGCCCCCUGGCUUGUGGUCUCCUCUGGACUCUUCUGGUCCAGCUCCGGUGCUUCGGGGGUCUCUUUUGGUCCAUAAAAAACCACCGUAAAUUUUCAGCUUGUUUGGACUCCGUUUGAUAUUCCUUUUCUGUGACUCAAAAACAAGGGAAAAAAAUAGAAACUAGCACUAGGCUCUAGGUUAAUAGGUUAGUCCCAAAAAUAAUAUAAAAUAGCAUAUUAUUGCAUAUAAAACAUCCAAAACAGAAAUAUAAUAGCAUGGAACAAUCAAAAAUUAUAGAUAUGUUGGAGACGUAUCUAGCAUUUCCAAGCUUAAUUCCUACUCGUCCUCGAGUAGGUAAAUGAUAAAAACGGAUUUUUUAUGUGGAAUGCUACCUAACAUAUUUAUCAAAGCAAUCUUGUUUAUUGUGGCAUGAAUAUUCAGAUCCAUAAGAUUCAAAACAAAAGUUUAAUAUUGACAUAAAAACAAUAAUACUUCAAGCAUACUAAUAAAGCAAACGUGUCUUUUCAAAAUAACAUGGCCAAAGAAAGUUAUCCCUAUAAAAUCAUAUAGUCUGGUUAUGCUCCAUCUUCAUCACACAAAGUAUUUCAUCAUGCACAACCCCGAUGACAAGCCAAGCAAUUGUUUCAUACUUUUAAUGUUCUCAAGCUUUUUCAACUUUCACGCAAUACAUGAGCGUGAGCCAUGUAUAUAGCACUAUAGGUGGAAUAGAAUAUGAUGGUUGUGGAGAAGACAAAAAGAGGAGAUUGUCUCACAUCAAUUAGGCGUACCAAUGGGCUAUGGAGAUGCCCGUCAAUAUAUAUCAAUAUGAGUGAGUAGGGAUUGCCAUACAACGGAUGCACUUUAGAGCUAUAAGUUUAUGGAAGCUCAAAAAGAAACUAAGUGGGUGUGCAUCCAACUCGCUUGCUCACGAAGACCUAGGACAAUUUUGAGGAAGCCCAUCAUUGAAAUAAACAAGCCAAGUUCUAUAAUAAAAAAUUCCCACUAGUAUAUGAAAGUGAUAACAUAGAAGACUCUCUAUCAUGAAGAUCAUGGUGCUACUUUGGAGCACAAGUGUGGAAAAAGGAUAGUAACAUUGUCCCUUCUCUUUUCUCUUAUUUUUUUAAUUUUUUGGCUCUUUGGCCUCUUUUUUCUUUAUUUUCUUUUUUAUAUGGGCUUAUUUGGCCUCUUUUAUUUUCUAAAGUCUGGAGACUCAUCCCAACUUGUGAGGAAAUCAUAGAUUCCAUCAUCCUUUUCUCACAUGGGACAAUGCUCUAAUAAUGAUGAUCAUCACACUUUUAUCUACUUACAACUCAAGAAUUACAACUCGAAACUUAGAACAAAAAGGAACGGUGGAAGUUGCAUGGCAAUAUAUCUCGGAAUGGCUAUGGAAAUGCCAUAAUAGGUAGGUAUGGUGGCUGUUUUGAGGAAGGGUAUAUGGUGGGUGUUGUGCACUGGCGAAAGUUGCAUGGUACUAGAGAGGCUAGCAAUGGUGGAAGGGUGAGAGUGCGUAUAAUCCAUGAACUCAACAUUAGUCAUAAAGAACUCACAUACUUAUUGUAAAAACCUAUUAGUCAUCGAAACAAAGUACUACAUGCAUGCUCCUAGGGGGAUAGAUUGGUAGGAAAAGACCAUCGCUCGUCCCCGACCGCCACUCGUAAGGAAGACAAUCAAAAGAUAAAUCAUGCUCCGACUUCAUCACAUAAUAGUUCACCGUACAUGCAUGCUACGGGAAUCACAAACUUUAACACAAGUAUUUCUACCAAUCCACAAUUACUCACUAGCAUCACUCUAAUACCACCAUCUUUAUAUCUGAAAAUAAAUGCAAGGAAUCAAACUUCUCAUAGAUUCAAUACUCUUUAGAUGAAAGUUUUUAUUAUAUCCCUCUUGGAUGCCCAUCAUAUUAGGACUAAAUUCAUAACCUAAGAAAAUUACAAUGUUGUUUAAGACUCUCAAAAUAAUAUAAGUGAAGCAUGAGAGUUCAUCAAUUUCUAUAAAAUAAAACCACCGCUGUGCUCUAAAAAUAUGUAAGUGAAACACUAGAGCAAAUUGCCUAGCUCAAAAGAUAUAAGUGAAGCACAUAGAGUAUUCUAAUAAAUCACGAUUCAUGUGUGUCCCUCUCAAAAGGUGUGUACAGCAAGGAUGAUUAUGGAAAACUAAAAAGCAAAGACUCAUAUCAUAAAAGACGCUCCAAGCAAAACACAUAUCAUAUGGUGAAUAAAAAUAUAGCCUCAAGUAAAUUUACCGAUGGAUUGAAGACAAAAGAGGGGAUGCCAUCCGGGGCAUCCCCAAGCUAAGAUGUUUGGUUGUCCUUGAAUACUACCAUGGGGUGUCUUGGGCAUCCCCAAGCUUAGGCUCUUGCCACUCCUUAUUCCGUAGGCCAUCAAAAUUUUACCCAAAACUUGAAAACUUCACAAGACAAAAACUCAACAGAAAACUCGUAAGCUCCGUUAGUAUAAUAAAGCAAAUCACCACUUAGGUACUGUUGUGAACUCAUUCUAAAUUUAUAUUGGUGUUAUAUCUACUGUAUUCCAACUUCUCCAUGGUUCAUACCCUCCAAUGCUACCCAUAGAUUCAUUAAAAUAAGCAAACAACACAAAGAAAACAGAAUCUAUCAAAAAUAGAACAGUCUGUCGCAAUAUGGAAACUUCGUAUACUUCUGUAACUCCAAAAAUUCUGAAAAAUUAGGAAAAUAUAGGCACUUUGUACAUACAUCCAGUGUAAAAAAUUCAGCUCAAAAGCAUGCUUCUGUGAAUUUCUAAAAUUCUGGCAAUGAGCACAAAAGUUUCUGUUUUUCAGCAAGAUCAAAUCAACUAUCACCAUAGACCAUCCCAAAGGUCAUACUUGGCACUUUAUUGAAACAAAAACUAUAAAACAUGAUUACUACAGUAUAAUAAUCAUGUGAACACACCAAAAACAGUAGGUAUAAAUAUUGGGUUGUCUUUCAACAAGCGCUUUUCUUUAAUGUCUUUUUAGCUAGUCAUGAUGAUUUCAAUGAUGCUCACAUAAAAGAUAAUAAUUGAAACAUAAUGGGAGCAUCAUGGAGCAUAUGACUAACACAUUUAAGCAUAACCCACUUCCUAUGCCUAGGGGUUUUGUGAGCAAAUAAUUUAUGGGAACAAGAAUUAACUAGCAUAGGAAGGUAAAACAAGCAAAACUUCAAGAUUUUCAACAUAAAGAGAGGAAACUUGAUAUUAUUAAGAUAUGAAAAAGCAUAUGUUCCCCUCUCAUAAUAAUUUUCAGUAGCAUCAUGAAUGAAUUCAACAAUAUAACUAUCAUGUGAGGCAUAAUCCAAUUGAAAAUUAAAAUUAUGAUGACAAGUUUCAUGGUUAUCAUUAUUCUUUAUAGCAUUUAUGUCAUCACAAUAAUCAUCAUAGAUGGCAACUUUUUUAUCAUAGACAAUUGAAACCUCUUCAAAAAUAGUGGAUUCAUCACUAAAUAAAGUCAUGACCUCUCCAAAUCCACUUUUAUCAAUAUUGUGAAAAGAUUCAACACCCUCCAAAAUAGUGGGAUCAUUACUUCCUAAAGUUGACACUCUUCCAAACCAACUUUCAUCAAUAUAAUCAUCAUAAAUAGAAGGCAUGCUAUCAUCAAAAUAAAUUUGCUCAUCAAAACUUGGGGGGCUAAAAAUAUCAUCUUCAUCAAACAUAGCAUCCCCAAGCUUGUAGCUUUUCAUAUCAUUAGCAUCAUGGAUAUUCAAAGAAUUCACACUAACAACAUUGCAAUCAUGCUCAUCAUUCAAAGAUUGUGUGGCAAACAUUUAUUGCAUUCUUCUUCUAACAAUUGGGAACAAUUUUCCUUUCCAUCAUUUUCACGAAAAACAUUAAAAAGAUGAAGCACAUGAGGCAACCUCAAUUCCAUUUUUUUUGUAGUUUUCUUUUAUAGAGUAAACUAGUGCUAAAACAAGAAACUAAAAGAUUCAAUUGCAAGAUCUAAAGAUAUACCAUGAAGCACUCACCUCCCCGGCAAUGGCGCCAGAAAAGAGCUUGAUGUCUACUACGCAACCUUCUUCUUGUAGACUCGUGUUGGGCCUCCAAGCGCAGAGUUUUGUAGGACAGUAGCAAAUUUCCCUCAAGUGGAUGACCUAAGGUUUAUCAAUCCGUGGGAGGCAUAGGAUGAAAAUGGUCUCUCUCAAACAACCCUGUAACCAAAUAACAAAGAGUCUCUUGUGUCCCCAACACACCCAAUACAAUGGUAAAUUGUAUCGGUGCACUAGUUCGGCGAAGAGAUGGUGAUAUAAGUGUAGUAUGGAUAGUAGAUAUAGGUUUUUAUAAUAUGAAAAUAUAAAAACAGCAAGGUAACUAGUAACAAAAGUGAUCACAAACAGUAUUGCAAUGCUUGAAAACAAGGCCUUGGGUAUAUACUUUCACUAGUGCAAUUUCUCUCAACAAUGCUAACAUAAUUAAACCAUAUGGAAAUCCCUCAACAUGCAACAAAGAAUCACUCCAAAGUUCCUAUCAAAGAAUGUAGGACGAAAACGUGCAUCAACCCCUAUGCAUAGAUUACCCCAAUGUCACCUCGGGAAUCCGCAAGUUGAGUGCCAAAACAUACAUCAAGUGAAUCAACAAUACAUCCCAUUGUCACCACAGAUAUCCCAUCGCAAGACAUACAUCAAGUGUUCUCAAAUCCAAUACUCAGUCCAACAUAACGAACCCUCAAAGAGCAAGACUCAAUUCAUCACAACAAGAGAUAGAGGGGGAAGAAAUACCAUAUGAUCCAACUAUAAUAAUAAAGCUCGCGGUACAUCAAGAUCGUGCCAAAUCAAGAACAUGGGGGAGUGAUCAAACACAUAGCUACUAGUGCAUACCCUCAGCCCCGAGGGUGAACUACUCCCUCCUCGUCAUGGAGACCGCCGGGAUGAUAAAGAUGGUGCUUUCCGUAAGAUGCUUGCUAAGUAUGAUGUCAAUCAUAGAAUCACAUCUCCUUGUCAUCCGCAGUCUAGUGGUCAAGUAGAGUUGAGCAAUAGAGAGCUCAAAUUAAUUUUUCAAAAGACUAUGAAUAGAUCUAGAAAGAAUUGGUCCAAAAAACUUGAUGAUGCGUUAUGGGCCUAUAGAACUGCAUACAAAAAUCCUAUGGGUAUGUCUCCUUAUAAGAUGGUUUAUGGAAAAGCGUGUCAUUUACCUCUUGAACUUGAACAUAAGGCAUAUUGGGCUAUUAAAGAGCUCAACUAUGACUUCAAACUUGCCGGUGAGAAGAGGUUGUUUGAUAUUAGCUCACUUGAUGAAUGGAGAACCCAAGCCUAUGAGAAUGCCAAGCUUUUCAAAGAAAAAGUCAAACGCUGGCAUGAUAAGAGGAUACAAAAGCACGAGUUUAACGUAGGAGAUUAUGUGUUAUUAUUCAACUCUCGUUUAAGAUUUUUUGCAGGAAAACUUCUUUCAAAAUGGGAAGGUCCCUACGUUAUCGAGGAGGUCUAUCGUUCUGGUGCUAUAAAAAUCAACAACUUAGAAGGCACAAAUCCGAGGGUGGUAAACGGUCAAAGAAUUAAACAUUAUAUUUCAGGUAAUCCUACCAAUGUUGAAACUAAUAUUAUUGAAACCGUAACCCCUGAGGAAUACAUAAGGGACACUUUCCAGAACGUUCCAGACUCCGAAAAGGUAUAGGUAUGUGAUACGGUAAGUAAACCGACUCCAAAACAACUCCAAUGGCAAUUUUUAUCAGUUUUGGAAUAUUUAAGAAUUUUAGGAAGAAAGAAGUAGUCCGAAAGGGACACGAGGCUCCCACGAGAGAGGAGGGCGCCCCCCCUGUAGGGCGCGCCCCCUGUCUCGUGGGCACCUCGUGUGCCUCCCGGACUCCGUUUUCUUGCACGUUACGUAUUUUGGUCGGUAAAAAUUCAUUAUAUAUACUCCCGAAGGUUUUGACCACCGUAUCACGCAAAUAUCCUCUGGUUUCGUUUCGAGCUGUUUCUGUUGCAGAUCUAGAGCACCAUGACUUCACCCUCCUCCAACAACGAAGACAAGGAUGCUUGGCUAUUGAAGAUAGAGCUGAAAAGAGAAGAACUAGAAGAGAUCAACAAGGAUGAAGGGAUCAAGAAGGCCAUGGAGGUUCAAGUGCCGGCGGUGAAAGAAGAAGACAUCCCUCAACCUUUACCUAACCUUUUCACUCCAACAGAGAUCGAAGCUUCCAAGAUGAUUGAGUUAGCUCGCAUACAGAACAAAUAUCUUACACAGGAGAAUAUUCUGUUGAAGGAUCAUAUCGCCGGACUCAAGGGCAUUAUCCGCAAGUUGGAGGAGCUUUUACGCUCGAUGUGCGAUUAUCCACCGUCAUCAUCACCACCUCCAUCACCUGCGAGGACAUAAUCACAUGAGUAUGGGCACUCCCCUUGGCAACUGCCAAGCUUGGGGGAGGUGCCCCGGUAUCGUAUCACCAUCACACUCCUAUCUUUACCGCUUUAUUUAGUUCGAUCCUUUUAGUAGUAUCUUGAUCUAGUAGAUUGAAGUUUUGAUAUCAAGUAGUUUUGAGUUUUGCAUUGUGAUCUCUUUUUGUAAUCGAGUCCGUGAGCUAUCUAUAAUAAAGAUUAGUGUUGAGUCGAGGGCUUUGCCAUGUUGCUAUGAUCUUGAGAAAGUAGAAAGAAUAAAAGAGUUCAUAUUGAUCUUGUGGAUAGUGAUGACUUCACACAUAGAAAGUAUGAGGCAUAAAAAUUGUUGAGAGUUGAUAAACUUAGCCUUGGUCAUCGUUGCAAUUAAUAGGAAGUGAUACGGAAAGAGGGGUUCACAUAUAAAUAUAUUGUCUUGGACACCUUUUAUAAUUGGGAGCACUCAUUAAGUAUGACAUGCUAAAAGAGUUGACGUUGGACAAGGAAGACAACGUAAUGGUUUAUGUUUUCCGACAUCUCAGUUAAAGUAUAUUGUCAUUGACCUUCCAAACAUGUUGAGCUUGCCUUUCCCCCUCAUGCUAGCCAAAUUCCUUGCACCAAGUAGAGAUACUACUUGUGCUUCCAAAUAUCCUUAAACCCAGUUUUGCCAUGAGAGUCCACCAUACCUACCUAUGGAUUGAGUAAGAUCCUUCAAGUAAGUUGUCAUCGGUGCAAGCAAUAAAAAUUGCUCUCUAAAUAUGUAUGACUUAUUAGUGCAGAGAAAAUAAGCUUUGUACGAUCUUGUUGUGGAAGUAAUAAAAGCGACAGACUGCAUAAUAAAGGUCCACAUACAAGGGGCAAUAUAAAGUGACGUUCUUUUGCAUUAAGAUUUUGUGCAUCAACCCUAAACGCGCAUGACAACCUCUGCUUCCCUCUGCGAAGGGCCUAUCUUCUACUUUAUGUUUUUACUUUAUGCUUGAGUCAAGGUGAUCCUCACCUUUCCCUUUUUCAUUUUAUCCUUUGGCAAGCUCUUCGUGUUUGAAAGAUCAUGAUAUAUAUAUAUAUCCAAUUGGAUGUAAGUUAGCAUGGGCUAUUAUUGUUGACAUCAUCUAAAGGUGAAUACGUUGGGAGGCAACACAAUAAGCCCCUAUCUUUCUCAGUGUCCGGCUGAAACUCCAUAACCACAAGUAUUGCGUGAGUGUUGGCAAUUAUAGAAGACUACAAGAUAGUUGAGUAUGUGAACUUGCUGAAAAGCUCUAUUGUUGACUCUUUCUAAUGUUACGAUAAAUUGCAAUUGCUUCAAUGACUGAGAUUAUAGUUUGUUAGUUCCCAAUGAAGUUUUUGAACCAUACUUGACAUUGUGAAUUGAUUGUUACUUGAGCAUAAGAAAUCAUAUGAUAAAAUCUAUUUAUGUUGCUGCUAUAAGAAUGAUCAUGAUGCCCUCAUGUCCGUAUUUUAUUUUUAUCGACACCUCUAUCUCUAAACAUGUGGACAUAUUUUUCGAGCUCGGCUUCCGCUUGAGGACAAGCGAGGUCUAAGCUUGGGGGAGUUGAUACGUCCAUUUUGCAUCAUGCUUUUAUAUCAAUAUUUAUUGCGUUAUGGGCUGUUGUUACACAUUAUAUCUCAAUACUUAUGGCUAUUCUCUCUUAUUUUACAAGGUUUACCAUGAAGAGGGGGAAUGCCGGCAGCUGGAAUUCUGGCUGGAAAAGGAGCAAACAUUGGAAACCUAUUCUGCACAGCUCCAAAAGUCUUGAAACUCCACGAAACAACUUUUUGGAAUUAAUAAGAAUUUUUGAGCGAAAGAAAUACUCCAGGGGGCCCACACCCUGUCCAGGAGACAGGGGGCGCACCCCCUAUAGGGCGCGCCCCCUAUCUCCUGGGCCCCCUGGUGGGCCUCCGGUGUCCAUCUUCUGCUAUAUCAUCGCUUUUACCCUGGAAAAAAUUGUUCGAAAUAUGCCCUAGAGGCAAUAAUAAAAUGAUUAUUAUUAUAUUUCCUUGUUCAUGAUAAUUGUCUAUUAUUCAUGCUAUAAUUGUGUUAUCUGGAAAUCGUAAUACAUGUGUGAAUACAUAGACCACAACAUGUCCCUAGUGAGCCUCUAGUUAACUAGCUCGUUGAUCAACAGAUAGUCAUGGUUUCCUGACUAUGGACAUUGGAUGUCAUUGAUAAUGGGAUCACAUCAUUGUCCUAAUGAUGUGAUGGACAAGACCCAAUCCUAAGCAUAGCACAAGAUCGUGUAGUUCGUUUUGCUAGAGCUUUUCCAAUGUCAAGUAUCAUUUCCUGAGACCAUGAGAUCGUGUAACUCCCGGAUGCCGUAGGAGUGCUUUGGGUGUACCAAACGUCACAACGUAACUGGGUGACUAUAAAGGUAUACUACAGGUAUCCCCGAAAGUGUCUGUUGGGUUGACACGGAUCGAGACUAGGAUUUGUCACUCCGUAUGACGGAGAGGUAUCUCUGGGCCCACUCGGCAAUGCAUCAUCAUAAUGAGCUCAAAGUGACCAAGUGGUUGGUCACGGGAUCAUGCAUUACGGUACGAGUAAAGUGACUUGCCGGUAACGAGAUUGAACAAGGUAUUGGGAUACCGACGAUCGAAUCUCGGGCAAGUAACGUACCGAUUGACAAAGGGAAUUGUAUACGGGAUCACUUGAAUCCUCGACAUCGUGGUUCAUUCGAUGAGAUCAUCGUGGAACAUGUGGGACCCAACAUGGGUAUCCAGAUCCCGCUAUUGGUUAUUGGCCGGAGAGUCGUCUCGGUCAUGUCUGCAUGUCUCCCGAACCUGUAGGGUCUACACACUUAAGGUUCAGUGACGCUAGGGUUGUAGAGAUACUAGUAUGCGGUAACCCAAAAGUUGUUUGGAGUCACGGAUGAGAUCCCGGACAUCACGAGGAGUUCCGGAAUGGUUCGGAGGUGAAGAAUUAUAUAUAGGAAGUCCAGUUUCGGCCAUCGGGAAAGUUUCGGGGGUCACCGGUAUUGUACCGGGACCACCGGAAGGGUCCCGGGGGUCCACCGGGUGGUGCCACCUAUCCCGGAGGGCCCCAUGGGCUGAAGUGGGGAAGGGAACCAGCCCCUGGUGGGCUAGUGCGCCCCCCUUGGGCCUCCCCUGCGCCUAGGGUUGGAAACCCUAGGGGUGGGGGCGCCCCACUUGACUUGGGGGGCAAGUCCCCCCUUGUCCGCCGCCCCCCUUGAGAUGGGAUCUCUAGGGGCCGGCGCCCCCCCAGGGCCCCUAUAUAAAGAGGGGGAGAGGGAGGGCUGCGCACCCUUGCUCCUGGCGCCUCCCUCUCCCCUCCGCAACACCUCUCCCUCUCGUAGAGCUUGGCGAAGCCCUGCCGAGAUCGCCGCUACUUCCACCACCACGCCGUCGUGCUGCUGGAUCUCCAUCAACCUCUCCCUCCCCCUUGCUAGAUCAAGAAGGAGGAGACGUCUUCCCCAACCGUACGUGUGUUGAACGAGGAGGUGCCGUCCGUUCGGCGCUAGGAUCUCCAGUUAUUUGGAUCACGACGAGUACGACUCCCUCAACCCGGUUCUCUUGAACGCUUCCGCGCGUGAUCUACAAGGGUAUGUAGAUGCACUCCUCUCUCUCGUUGCUAGAUGAUUCCAUAGAUUGAUCUUGGUGAAGCGUAGAAUUUUUUUAUUUUCUGCAACGUUCCCCAACAGUGGCAUCAUGAGCUAGGUCUAUGCAUAGUUUCUAUGCACGAGUAGAACACAAACUUGUUGUGGGCGUAGAUGUUGUCAAUUUUCUUGCCACUUCUAGUCUUAUCUUGUUUCGGCGGCAUCGUGGGAUGAAGCGGCCCCGACCGGCCUUACACGUACGCUUACAUGAGACGGGUUCCACCGACUGACAUGCACUAGUUGCAUAAGGUGGCUAGCGGGUGUCUGUCUCUCCCACUUUAGUCGGAUUGGAUUCGAUGAAAAGGGUCCUUAUGAAGGGUAAAUAGAAAUUGGCAUAUCACGUUGUGGUUUUACGUAGGUAAGAAACGUUCUUGCUAGAAACCUAUAGAAGCCACGUAAAAACAUGCAACAAAAAUUAGAGGACGUCUAACUUGUUUUUGCAGCAUAUGCCUUGUGAUGUGAUAUGGCCAAAAGGAUGUGAUGAAUGAAAUAUAUGUGAUGUAUGAGAUUGAUCAUGUUCUUGUAAUAGGAAUCACGACUUGCAUGUCGAUGAGUAUGACAACCGGCAGGAGCCAUAGGAGUUGUCUUUAUUUUUGUAUGACCUGCGUGUCAUUGAAUAACACCAUGUAAAUUACUUUACUUUAUUGCUAAACACGUUAGCCAUAGAAGUAGAAGUAAUCGUUGGCGUGACAACUUCAUGAAGAGACGAUGAUGGAGAUCAUGAUUAUGGAGAUCAUGGUGUCAUGCCGGUGACGAAGAUGAUCAUGGCGCCCCGAAGAUGGAGAUCAAAGGAUCAAUAUGAUAUUGGCCAUAUCAUGUCACUAUUUGAUUGCAUGUGAUGUUUAUCAUGUUUUGCUUCUUAUUUGCUUAGUACGACGGUAGUAAAUAAGAUGAUCCCUUGUAAUAAUUUCAAGAAAGUGUUCCCCCUAACUGUGCGCCGUUGCGAAAGUUCGUUGUUUCGAAGCACCACGUGAUGAUCGGGUGUGAUAGAUUCUAACGUUCACAUACAAUGGGUGUAAGACAGAUUUACACAUGCAAAACACUUAGGUUGACUUGACGAGCCUAGCAUGUACAGACAUGGCCUCGGAACACAAGAGACCGAAAGGUCGAACAUGAGUCGUAUGGAAGAUAUGAUCAACAUGGAGAUGUUCACCGAUGAUGACUAGUCCGUCUCACGUGAUGAUCGGACACGGUCUAGUUGAGUCGGAUCAUGUAUCACUUAGAUGACUAGAGGGAUGUCUAAUCUGAGUGGGAGUUCAUUAAAUAAUUUGAUUAGAUGAACUUAAUUAUCAUGAACUUAGUCUAAAAACCUUUGCAAAAUGUCUUGUAGAUCAAAUGGCCAACGCUCAUGUCAACCUCAACUUCAACGCAUUCCUAGAGAAAACCAAGCUGAAAGAUGAUGGCAGCAACUAUUCGGACUGGGUCCGGAACCUGAGGAUCAUCCUCACAGCUGCCAAGAAAGCAUAUGUCCUAGAAGGACCGCUAGGUGAAGCACCCAUCCCAAAGAACCAAGACGUUAUGAACGCUUGGCAGUCACGUGCUGAUGAUUACUCCCUCGUUCAGUGCGGCAUGCUUUACAGCUUAGAACCGGGGCUCCAAAAGCGUUUUGAGCAACACAGAGCAUAUGAGAUGUUCGAAGAGCUGAAAAUGGUUUUCCAAGCUCAUGCCCGGGUCGAGAGAUAUGAAGUCUCCGACAAGUUCUACAGUUGUAAGAUGGAGGAACAUAGUUCUGUCAGUGAGCACAUACUCAAAAUGUCUGGGUUGCACAACCGCUUGUCCCAGCUGGACAUUAACCUCCCGGACGAGGCGGUCAUUGACAGAAUUCUUCAGUCGCUCCCACCUAGCUACAAGAGCUUUGUGAUGAACUACAAUAUGCAGGGGAUGGUGAAAACUAUUCCUGAAGUAUUUUCAAUGCUGAAAUCAGCGGAGGUGGAAAUCAAAAAGGAAUAUCAAGUGUUGAUGAUCAAUAAAACCACUAGUUUCAAGAAAGGCAAGGGUAAGAAGAACUUCAAGAAGGACGGCAAGGGAGUUGCCGCGCCCGGUAAGCCAGUUGCCGGGAAGAAGCCAAAGAAUGGACCCAAACCUGAGACUGAGUGCUUUUAUUGCAAGGGAAAGGGACACUGGAAGCGGAACUGCCCCAAAUACUUAGCGGACAAGAAGGCCGGCAACACUAAAGGUAUAUGUGAUAUACAUGUAAUUGAUGUGUACCUUACCAGUACUCGUAGUAGCUCCUGGGUAUUUGAUACCGGUGCGGUUGCUCAUAUUUGUAACUCAAAGCAGGAGCUGCGGAAUAAGCGGAGACUGGCGAAGGACGAGGUGACGAUGCGCGUCGGGAAUGGUUCCAAGGUCGAUGUGAUCGCCGUCGGCACGCUACCUCUACAUUUACCUACGGGAUUAGUUUUAAACCUCAAUAAUUGUUAUUUAGUUCCAGCUUUGAGCAUGAACCUUGUAUCUGGAUCUCGUUUAAUACGAGAUGGCUACUCAUUUAAAUCCGAGAAUAAUGGUUGUUCUAUUUAUAUGAGAGAUAUGUUUUAUGGUCAUGCCCCGCUGGUUAAUGGUUUAUUCUUGAUGAAUCUCGAACGUGAUGUUACACAUAUUCAUAGUGUGAAUACCAAAAGAUGUAAAGUUGAUAACGAUAGUCCCACAUACUUGUGGCACUGCCGCCUUGGUCACAUUGGUGUCAAACGCAUGAAGAAGCUCCAUGCUGAUGGACUUUUGGAGUCUCUUGAUUACGAAUCAUUUGACACAUGCGAACCAUGCCUCAUGGGAAAAAUGACCAAGACUCCGUUCUCCGGAACAAUGGAGCGAGCAACCAACUUAUUGGAAAUCAUACAUACUGAUGUGUGCGGUCCAAUGAGCGUUGAGGCUCGCGGAGGCUAUCGUUAUGUUCUCACUCUCACUGACGACUUGAGUAGAUAUGCGUAUGUCUACUUGAUGAAACACAAGUCUGAGACCUUUGAAAAGUUCAAGGAAUUUCAGAAUGAGGUAGAGAAUCAACGUGAUCGAAAGAUAAAAUUCUUACGAUCAGAUCGUGGGGGAGAAUAUUUAAGUCACGAAUUUGGUACGCACUUAAGGAAAUGUGGAAUCAUUUCACAACUCACGCCGCCUGGAACACCUCAGCGUAACGGUGUGUCCGAACGUCGUAAUCGCACUCUAUUGGAUAUGGUGCGAUCUAUGAUGUCACUCACCGAUUUACCGCUAUCAUUUUGGGGAUACGCUCUAGAGACAGCUACAUUCACUUUAAAUAGGGCAUCGUCUAAAUCCAUUGAGACGACGCCGUAUGAAUUAUGGUUUGGGAAGAAACCUAAGCUGUCGUUUCUAAAAGUUUAGGGAUGCGAUGCUUAUGUCAAGAAACUUCAACCUGAAAAGCUCGAACCCAAGUCGGAAAAAUGCGUCUUCAUAGGAUACCCUAAGGAAACCAUUGGGUAUACCUUCUACCUCAGAUCCGAAGGCAAGAUCUUUGUUGCCAAGAACGGGUCCUUUCUAGAGAAAGAGUUUCUCUCGAAAGAAGUAAGUGGGAGGAAAGUAGAACUUGAUGAAGUACUAUCUCUUGAACCGGAAAGUAGCGCAGCUCAGGAAGAUGUUCCUGUGGUGCCUGCACCGACUAGAGAGGAAACUAAUGAUGAUGAUCAAGGUACUUCAGAUCAAGUUACUACUGAACUUCGUAGGUCCACGAGGACACGUUCCACACCAGAGUGGUAUGGCAACCCUGUCCUGGAAAUCAUGUUAUUAGACAACGGUGAACCUUCGAACUAUGAAGAAGCGAUGGCGGGCCCAGAUUCCAACAAAUGGCUUGAAGCCAUGCAAUCCGAGAUAGGAUCCAUGUAUAAAAACAAAGUAUGGACUUUGACAGACUUGCCCGAUGAUCGGCGAGCGAUAGAAAACAAAUGGAUCUUUAAGAAGAAGACGGACGCGGAUGGUAACAUUACCAUCUAUAAAGCUCGACUUGUCGCUAAGGGUUAUCGACAAGUUCAAGGGGUUGACUACGAUGAGACUUUCUCUCCCGUAGCGAAGCUGAAGUCCGUCCGAAUCAUGUUAGCAAUUGCCGCAUACUAUGAUUAUGAGAUAUGGCAAAUGGACGUCAAAACGGCAUUCCUUAACGGCCAUCUUAAGGAAGAACUGUAUAUGAUGCAGCCAGAGGGUUUUGUCGAUCCUAAGAAUGCUAACAAGGUAUGCAAGCUCUAGCGCUCCAUCUAUGGGUUGGUGCAAGCAUCUCGGAGUUGGAACAUUCGCUUUAAUGAAAUGAUCAAAGCGUUUGGGUUUAUGCAGACUUAUGGAGAAGCCUGCGUUUACAAGAAAGUGAGUGGGAGCUCUGUAGCAUUUCUCAUAUUAUAUGUGGAUGGCAUACUUUUGAUGGGAAAUGAUAUAGAACUUUUGGACAGCAUUAAGGCCUACUUGAAUAAGUGUUUUUCAAUGAAGGACCUUGGAGAAGCAGCUUACAUAUUAGGCAUCAAGAUCUAUAGAGAUAGAUCGAGACGCCUCAUAGGUCUUUCACAAAGCACAUACCUUGAUAAGAUAUUGAAGAAGUUCAAUAUGGAUCAGUCCAAGAAGGGGUUCUUGCCUAUGUUACAAGGUGUGAAAUUGAGCUCGGCUCAAUGUCCGACCACGGCAGAAGAUAGAGAAAAGAUGAGUGUCGUCCCCUAUGCCUCGGCCAUAGGGUCUAUCAUGUAUGCCAUGUUGUGUACCAGACCUGAUGUAAACCUUGCCGUAAGUUUGGUAGGAAGGUACCAAAGUAAUCCUGGCAUGGAACACUGGACAGCGGUCAAGAAUAUCCUGAAGUACCUGAAAAGGACUAAGGAUAUGUUUCUCGUUUAUGGAGGUGACGAAGAGCUCGUCGUAAAGGGUUACGUCGACGCUAGCUUCGACACAGAUCUGGAUGACUCUAAGUCACAAACCGGAUACGUGUAUAUUUUGAAUGGAGGGGCAGUAAGCUGGUGUAGUUGCAAGCAAAGCGUCGUGGCGGGAUCUACAUGUGAAGCGGAGUACAUGGCAGCCUCAGAGGCAGCGCAUGAAGCAAUCUGGAUGAAGGAGUUCAUCACCGACCUAGGAGUCAUACCCAAUGCGUCGGGGCCGAUCACACUCUUCUGUGACAACACUGGAGCUAUUGCCCUUGCCAAGGAGCCCAGGUUUCACAAGAAGACCAGGCACAUCAAGCGUCGCUUCAACUCCAUUCGUGAAAAUGUUCAAGAUGGAGACAUAGAUAUUUGCAAAGUGCAUACGGAUCUGAAUGUCGCAGAUCCAUUGACUAUACCUCUUCCGCGAGCAAAACAUGAUCAACAUCAGAACUCUAUGGGUGUUCGAUUCAUCACAAUGUAACUAGAUUAUUGACUCUAGUGCAAGUGGGAGACUGUUGGAAAUAUGCCCUAGAGGCAAUAAUAAAAUGAUUAUUAUUAUAUUUCUUUGUUCAUGAUAAUUGUCUAUUAUUCAUGCUAUAAUUGUGUUAUCCGGAAAUCGUAAUACAUGUGUGAAUACAUAGACCACAACAUGUCCCUAGUGAGCCUCUAGUUAACUAGCUCGUUGAUCAACAGAUAGUCAUGGUUUCCUGACUAUGGACAUUGGAUGUUAUUGAUAACGGGAUCACAUCAUUAGGAGAAUGAUGUGAUGGACAAGACCCAAUCCUAAGCAUAGCACAAGAUCGUGUAGUUCGUUUUGCUAGAGCUUUUCCAAUGUCAAGUAUCAUUUCCUUAGACCAUGAGAUCGUGUAACUCCCGGAUGCCGUAGGAGUGCUUUGGGUGUACCAAACGUCACAACGUAACUGGGUGACUAUAAAGGUAUACUACAGGUAUCCCCGAAAGUGUCUGUUGGGUUGACACGGAUCGAGACUGGGAUUUGUCACUCCGUAUGACGGAGAGGUAUCUCUGGGCCCACUCGGUAAUGCAUCAUCAUAAUGAGCUCAAAGUGACCAAGUGGUUGGUCACGGGAUCAUGCAUUACGGUACGAGUAAAGUGACUUGCUGGUAACGAGAUUGAACGAGGUAUUGGGAUACCGACGAUCGAAUCUCGGGCAAGUAACGUACUGAUUGACAAAGGGAAUUGUAUACGGGAUUACUUGAAUCCUCGACAUCGUGGUUCAUUCGAUGAGAUCGUGGAACAUGUGGGAGCCAACAUGGGUAUCCAGAUCCCGCUGUUGGUUAUUGGCCAGAGAGUCGUCUCGGUCAUGUCUGCAUGUCUCCCGAACCCGUAGGGUCUACACACUUAAGGUUCGGUGACGCUAGGGUUGUAGAGAUACUAGUAUGCGGUAACCCGAAAGUUGUUCGGAGUCACGGAUGAGAUCCCGGACGUCACGAGGAGUUCCGAAAUGGUCCGGAGGUGAAGAAUUAUAUAUAGGAAGUCCAGUUUCGGCCAUCGGGAAAGUUUCGGGGGUCACCGGUAUUGUACCGGGACCACCGGAAGGGUCCCGGGGGUCCACCGGGUGGGGCCACCUAUCCCGGAGGGCCCCAUGGGCUGAAGUGGGGAAGGGAACCAGCCCCUGGUGGGCUAGUGCGCCCCCCUUGGGCCUCCCCUGCGCCUAGGGUUGGAAACCCUAGGGGUGGGGGGGCGCCCCACUUGACUUGGGGGGCAAGUCCCCCCUUGGCCGCCCCCCCCCCUUGAGAUGGGAUCUCUAGGGGCCGGCGCCCCCCAGGGCCCCUAUAUAAAGAGGGGGAGAGGGAGGGCUGCGCACCCCUGCUCCUGGCGCCUCCCUCUCCCCUCCGCAACACCUCUCCCUCUCGUAGAGCUUGGCGAAGCCCUGCCGAGAUCGCCGCUACUUCCACCACCACGCCGUCGUGCUGCUGGAUCUCCAUCAACCUCUCCCUCCCCCUUGCUGGAUCAAGAAGGAGGAGACGUCUUCCCCAACCGUACGUGUGUUGAACGCGGAGGUGCCGUCCGUUCGGCGCUAGGAUCUCCGGUGAUUUGGAUCACGACGAGUACGACUCCCUCAACCCCGUUCUCUUGAACGCUCCGCGCGUGAUCUACAAGGGUAUGUAGAUGCACUCCUCUCUCUCGUUGCUAGAUGACUCCAUAGAUUGAUCUUGGUGAAGCGUAGAAAUUUUUUUAUUUUCUGCAACGUUCCCCAACAAAAAUCGUGGGCAAGCUUACGGGACGAAACUCCGCCGCCACGAGGUGGAACCAAUCUAGGGCUCUGGCGGAGCUGUUCUGCCGGGGACACUUCCCUCUGGGAGGGGGAAAUCAUCACCAACGUCAUCACCAACGAUCCUCUCAUCGAGAGGGGGCCAAUCUCCAUCAACUUCUUCACCAGCACCAUCUCCUCUCAAAACCCUAGUUCAUCUCUUAUAUCCAAUCUUGUAUCAAAACCACAAAUUAGUACCUGUGGGUUGCUAGUAGUGUUGAUUACUCCUUGUAGUUGAUGCUAAUUGGUUUACUUGGUGAAAGAUCAUAUGUCCAGAUCCUUUAUGCAUAUUAUUACUCCUCUGAUUAUGAACAUGAAUAUGCUUUGUGAGUAGUUACGUUUGUUCCUAAGGACAUGGGUGAAGUCUUGCUAUUAGUAGUCAUGUGAAUUUGGUAUUCGUUCGAUAUUUUGAUGAGAUGUAUGUUGUAUUUUCCUCUAGUGGUUAUAUGUGAACGUCGACUACAUGACACUUCACCAUUAUUUGGGCCUAGAGGAAGGCAUGGGGAAGUAAUAAGUAGAUGAUGGGUUGCUAGAGUGACAGAAGCUUAAACCCUGGUUUAUGCGUUGCUUCGUUAGGGGCUGAUAUGGAUCCAUAUGUUUAAUGUUGUGGUUAUGUUUACCUUAAUACUUCUUUUAUAGUUGCGGAUGCUUGCAAUAGGGGUUAAUCAUAAGUGGGAUGCUUGUCCAAGUUAGGGUAGUACCCAAGUACCGGUCCACCCACAUAUCAAAUUAUCAAAGUACUGAACGCGAAUCAUAUGAACGUGAUGAAAACUAGCUUGACGAUAAUUCCCAAUGUGUCCUCGGGAGCUCCUUUCUCAUUAUUAGAAAUUGUCCAGGCUUAUCCUUUGCUACAUAAAGGAUUGGGCCACCUUGCUGCACUUUAUUUACUUUAUUUACUUGUUACUCGUUACCAUUUAUCUUAUCACAAAACUAUCUAUCACCUACUAUUUCAGUGCUUGCAGAGAAAACCUUACUGAAAACCGCUUAUCAUUUCCUUCUGCUCCUCGUUGGGUUCGACACUCUUACUUAUUGAAAGGACUACGAUUGAUCCCCUACACUUGUGGGUCAUCACUGCUCUUGCCCUUCCCGACGCCCUUGUCGUCCUUCUCGCGGAAGUACCAGUCGAAGACGCGGUAGGGAGCGAGUCGGAUCUGCUCGUCGCCGGAGCUAUCCUCGAUGUCGCUGUCCUCGCCGUCGCUGCCUCCUUCAGCGGCAGUCCGGCCAUGGCAUGGACCGGCCGAUUCUGCUCUCGGGCCAGGGUGCGCGUGUUCUUCCGCUGCCAUUUCUUCACAAUGCAGGCGCGGAUGGCUUCCUCCUCUGCGGCCACCCGCGCCGCCGCAUCAGCCGCCUCCGCCGCCACCAUUUCCGCCGCGAUACGGGCCUCGGCGGCCCUUAUCCUCUCCUUCCCACGGCGGGCCGCUCGUUCCCGGUGGGACUCAUAGUCUGCCUGAUCCGGUGAUGAGGAAGGAGAGAUUUUCCGGUUGCCGGGACCACGAUGAUCCAGCCCCAAAGGACCCGAGCGCCCAUUGAGUUGACGCUAUGGUGUCGCGCCGGACAGAUCCGUCCGUCGGCUGGGUGCUGUCCACCCGGGAGCGGCGGAGUGCAAUGUGAACCACCAUUGCCUCCUCCAACUCGCACGGGAUGACACCUCAAUCGGCGGGUUCGGGUUAGUCGGAGUCAGAUCCGUUGCCCGCCAUGCUGGAGACGGUCGGAAAUCACCGGAGGUGAGCUCGGGUGGCUGAGGGAGUGGAGUGAAGAGGAGAGUGGAGUGGCUAUGGUUUCGUCCGACACUGAUGGGGACGAAUAUAUGUGGGUCGGGUGGACCAGUUUGGGUCGGGACCGACAUGACGGGCGCACUCGGGCGUCCCAUAUACGCCCCAUUUUUGGGCUGGAUAUGAGGGGUGCCGGUCAGCUGUUUGAGGCCCGUUUGAGGUGUCCGGCUGGAUCGAAAUUUCGUGACCUGUUAGUAACGGGCGGCUCAACCGGGCGUUUGAGGAGGGUUUGGGGUGUCUGGUUCUAGAUGAUCUAACAAAACAAAUCUAAGACGUUUUGACAGUUUAUAUUGAGCUGCCAAACUUCUUACGUGUGUGUUUCCACGAUUGGAAUGAGGCCCGGAGUCUAAAUGCUUGUUUGGCCUGAUGCUAGAUCCACAUUUCAAUUGGUUUUCACGAUGACCGUGACGCUUAUGCAGACAAAAUGUCACCUUCCAACUUUUAUCGUUUGACUUGCUCUUGUACAACAUAUAUUUUGGUUCUACCUUCAUUUUCAAAGAAUCCGUGGAAUGGAAACUUUGUUUCAACAGCCCUCCAUGAACCGAUCGCCUUUUGUUGUGUGCGCGUGUGCUCUUGUAGUAGCUGCGAUGGAUCUGUGACUCGGAGAGUUGAAUCGGUCAUGGAAAAUGAACCAAAGCCCUACGCGAAUUGGACCGGCGUGCUCUUGGCCGCGGACGUGGAUGCGCAAUGCGUCACGCGGUCUGUCCGCCAGAGCGCGCUCCGAGCGCAGCAGUUGGCGCCUCCGGUGCGUGUGUGCCAAGACGCAGCCAUCCGCCACAUCGUUUCUGAUUCCCAAUAAGCAAAGCGAACGCAACGCACAAGGCAGAAGGCAGAAGGCAGAAGGAAAGAAAAAAACAUUGGAAACCGCAAAAUAAACAGAGGCUUUGGUGUAUUGGACGACGGCUCUGCUGUGCUGUCUGUGCUCGUGCCCGUCCAGCUUUUUCGCCGUGGCACGGUUCAGAAUUUAGGAGGUUUGAUCGAGCGACGGGAUCCCGACUUUAUUCGGGAAUAUUUUAGCAGCAGAAAAGAUUGGGAGGACUACUACUAGUACUGCCGGCAUUGGCGUCCAUGUCGAGAUCCGUGAGGAAGGGAGGGGAGGGGAGAGAGCAAUGGAGGAGUCCUAGGCCUGUCGUUUCCCUAGGGCUCUGUGCAAGAUCAGGUGACGGAAUGUCCCUGGGAUCAAUAAUUUUGUCCCUUGCCGGGUCUGGGUCUCCACUCUUGGAUCAUCCGAUACAACUCCUUUUUUUUUUUUGAAGCAUAUCCGAUACAACUCCUACUACUACUGGUCUCCAACGAUAGAGGAGGAGUUUCUUUCCUUUUUCUCCCGCAAAAAAAAAGAAUCUCUAGGAAAUAAAAAAUAUGAGCAAAGGAAAGUUGUAAGUAGAGAUUUCCAACUGGCAAAGAAAUUCACCCUUUACCAUAGUUUAAGAUUCAAAAUUUCAAAAAGUUGUAGUAAGGCAGAAGUAGGAAAGGAAUUACCGGUCGGGUUUGGAUCACAGCUAGCGAAUGGGCCCAGCUUCCCCCGAACCAUAUUAUAGGACUAGAAAAUCUCGCCCUCCUCUCCACCCACCUCCCUCUCUCUCUCCUCGCAAGUUGCGAUUCCCAAAUCCCAAUGCCACCUCGCAAUUAACACCUCCUGCGGCGGCACACAGCCUGCCUCCACCCCCGCGCGCCCUGCCAUCGCCCCCCCGGCCGGCGCCCAUGACGUCAUCAUCGUCGCACCACCACGACGCCUCCUCGGCCACCUCCACCCCCCGCGCCGGGGCCGGCAGCACCACCAGCAGCAACGGCAACGGCAACGGCGGCGGCGGCAGCCACCACCACCCGCCUCCUCCGCGUGCGCAGCCGCACGGGGCAGCGUGCGUGCGCCUCAUGUGCAGCUUCGGCGGCCGCAUCCUGCCGCGCCCGGGCGACCACCAGCUCCGCUACGUCGGCGGCGAGACCCGCAUCGUCUCCGUCCCGCGCACCACCUCCCACGCCGUCCUCUUCGCCGCGCUCGCCAAGCUCGCCCCCGCGCUCUUCGUCCCCGGCGAGCCCACCCCGGCGCUCAGGUACCAGCUCCCGCACGACGACCUCGACGCGCUCAUCUCCGUCUCCUCCGACGACGACGUCGACAACCUCAUGGAGGAGCUCGACCGCGUCCACAGCCUCGCCGCCACCGCCAUCAAGCCGCCCCGCCUGCGCCUCUUCCUCUUCGCCGCCUCGCCGGACCACCCCUCCGCGGGCGCGUUCGGCUCCGUGCUCUCCGGCGUCGGCGACGCCUCCUCCGACCAGUGGUUCGUCGACCAGCUCAACGCCCCGCCGCCCGGUUCCAUCGAGCGCGGCCGAUCCGAGGCCUCCUCGAUCGUCUCGGAGGUCCCGGACUACCUCUUCGGCUUCGACACGACCUCCGAGGAGCCCAGCCCCGGCGCGGGUGCGCAGCCCAAGUCUGACGCGGAGGUGGCGCAAGGCGACGAUGACGACGACGCGCCGGCUCCCGUGCUGGGCGCUCCUCUGGUGCCAUACGUCCCGGAGAGCGCCCCGUGGCCGGCCCCGCCUCCACCGUACAUGGCGCAGCCGGUGUACUACGUGCCUGUGCGCCCGGUCCACUACCUCAACGCGGCUGCGCACGGCGGCUACAUGCCCGGGCCGGUUUACCACAUUGUCGGUGGAGGGAGAAACGAAGGCCCGGGAGAUCUCUACUCGUCUGGGGGCGUCGGUGGCGUCUACGGCGUCCCCCGCUCCAUGCCGCCAUUCCGUCAGGUGAUGUACGCGCCGCCACCCGCCACGGAAGCCUACUCGGUGGAGGGGAAGCCGCCGGAAGGUGAGUCUCACUCCCCGUAGGCGCAAGGGGAGGAAGAGCCAUGGCCGCAUGGGCUGUUCCUGGAGCUGGUUGAUUCUGAUGAUCGCUUAUAUCUGAGCUAAGAUUUUUGCAUUGCCGUGGUAAAUGUUCACUGUUUCUGCUGGGGUUACUCUUGGUAGCUGUAUAGAUGAGGGAGGUGGAGGAUGGAUGGGUCAUGGAUAUCACAAUUUUCGUCGAGUGAAAUAGAUUCUUGAAUUGUUAUUAUGUGAGUACAUUUGGUGUGAUUAGUACUAGCAAGUUUACUGUAAUGUGGGAUUGGAUUCUCUUCAUAUAUAUUCUACUAGAAGAUUUUUUAUCUGCGAAACACAAUGUUUCUGCAUUUUGUAUUCAUAUGCUUGAUGCUGGAUGUAUCAUGGUCCAUGAAUGUCCUAUAUAUCUACUCGAGCUUUGAUGCGAAUGUUUGCGCAUUUGUUCUCGUGAAAGCUUAAUUUACUGAAUUCGCUCUAGCUUUGUUCUUGUAUGCCAGAAAUUUUGAUUGCUUGCUUUUGGUAACCCACAUUGCUUCAUUUCUUCAUUUUUACGCUUGAUGUUUAUCCUGAACUGCUCCUUUCCUGGCAUUAACAUGUCUGGAUUUUUUCGGAUGAAUUUUAACAUAUCCGGAUGGUUCUCUACUUAUUAGAAUGGCAUGUUGGCUUCGAUCUUCGAGCAGAACUAGGGAGAAAGAAUUAAAGUUCCAUUGUUGACUUGAUUCAAGAGGAAAGUGUCUGUUUCUGAACAGAGAAGCUAUGCCAAAUAUACUUGAGAGAAUAGCCUCUAGAGACAGUGGCUUGUAUCAAUUUCAGAACAGAUCGACUCUGCAUUGCCCUUUUGAACAAUGCUGCAGAUAUGCCAUCCUAUCUCUGUAACUAUUCAGAUUGCUAUUUAGGUUGUCUAGAUUCAGGAGAUGUGUGUUUAAGGUUUGAUCAGCUAUAGAAAGAGUCGUCUACAUCGUAGUACCAGAUUCCGAGUCCUCAAAAUGUGAUGCUAUAUGCAAUGAAAAGGUUUCUCUUCUUCCAUAGACUGUAUACAUAUAACUGGAUACAAGAAACAGGUGCAUUUAUAGCAGGAGUAGUCUUAUGUAGCAGCGUUCUUAGGACUGGCAGGAGGCUUAACAUAUCACAGGAGUGAGCAUUGCUGCCGGAGCUUGCGUCGCUUAUUUCCACCACGGGUUGUCGCCGGUCCUGAAGUCGGUCUCCACCCACGGCACGAAGACGACCUUGCCGUCGUCGACGUCGGCGUGAACCAGGGCCAGCGACUGUUUCACAAGAGCAAUGCAGAUCAGGUCAGCUUGGUUCGGUUCAGUAAGCAAACAAUGGAUUCUUCAGAAAGGUUCGGUUGAGAUAGGACUAGGAGGGCAUCUUACCAGAGGUGCAGGCCCACGGACAACCUUGCCCUGGUUGUUGUACUGGGAUCCAUGGCAGGGGCAGAGGAACUUGUUCUCGGCGGCGUUCCACGGCACGACGCAUCCAAGAUGCGUGCACACGGCGUUGAUCCCGUAGGUGGCAAGGGUCUUGUCGGACUCCACCACAAGGUAGGUAGGAUCACCCUGCAACAUCCACACCAUCUCAGCAACUUACUCUGGGCCUGGGCUGAUCCAUCAGCUUCAUCUCUGCUUGCAUAUAGCUUGUGAAGGCCUCAGAACGACCAUGCAUGGCCGUGUGAAUCUGAAGAUACGUACCUUGAGCCCCUGGGCCAGCGUGCGGUCGUUGGGGCCGUGCGUCUUGAGCCAGUCCUCGACGAGGAUGUCGUUGCCGAGCUUGUCCUUGGCGGCGACCCCUCCGGCGUUGCUCCCGGAGCCGGCGGGGACGAGGAAGGAGCCGUAGGGGACGAGCAUGCCGAAGGUGGGGAGCGAGAUGGCGCCCAGCAGGAGCAGGUUCAUCAGCUCCCUCUUGCUCAUGUCCGGCACGCGGUCCGCGGAGAUGCUGCCGGCCAUGCAGGUGAUGUUCCUCGGGAUGCGCUCCCGGCCGAAGCCCAGGCCCUUGACGGGCUUGCACAGCGAGCUUGCACGGGUCCGGCAGAGCUGCGCGCCAACAUGUUCUCAGCAAGCAUAACGAACCCGGCUCUCUCGCACACCGAAAUUACAGCGGCGGGAAGAAGAGAGGGAUGGUUACCUGGGUAGGGUUGGAGGCGGUGGAGAGCGCGGUAGAGGCCAUGGUGGCUGGCUGCUGCAGGGCGGGGAGGACGAUCGAGCGAGCGAGCGAGCACUGCCUGUGUCCACCACAGGCUUGCAGAUGAGGCGCGGGUUAUAUGUCCCUGCGGGAAGUGGAGAAGGGGCGGCCGAUGAUUGGUUGAUGCGCAGCGAACCGGCUCCGAGAACCACAUAUUGCGUGCCUUGUGGGUGGCUAGGCUGCCACACGCCCCCGAGCAGACUUCACGGGGCCUUAUCGGCACAGGGCAAUGCCGAUUUUACGAAACCAGAAGAUGUAGUGGUGCUCGUCUCGAGUGCGCCGUUGCUAUUUGCUAAGCUGGUUUGGACCAGGCUUGGUGACAGUGCAUAUGCCUUGCCUUCGUGACAGUACCUCGCAUGCAUGGUGACAUGCCUAAAAUCUGACGUUCACUACAAAUAAGCAUUGGUGAUUAAGAAAAAGACCGGUUCCUUUUCACAGGCACAUUGCAUUGUAUGUGCCGUUUACUACAAAGGUGAGUCGGUUCAGUUACGCUCCCUGAGAUGCAUAGCAUGCUGCCGCACGAGAUUUUGCUAGUAGUCACUCUUUAGUGAUCUAUAAACGCUCUUAUAUUUCUUCACAGGGGGAGUGGUAUUUUCACAGGGGGAGUGGUAUAGAUAGAAGACUUCAUAACAGUAGUGGAUACUUUCAACAAUACUGAGAAAGGCUCCCACUGGGACACAAUAAAUAACCAAAUAAUCGUCCCAGAUGCCCAGUUUUCAGUUUCGAUACAAUCAACGAUGCAUUGGUCUCAUCUAACUAUAUACGCCUGGCAUUCAUCUUCGUGGUGUCUUGGGAAACAAUAUAAAUCAUCCACAAGGGAAAGGGACCCAUGAUUCUGCUACUGUUGGUCGAGGAAUGAUUCCCGGAGGGCUGUUUACAUGCUUGGGUCCACCAGAUGUUGUAAACUCUACUGAUUCUUCAACAAGCAGUUGUCUUAACAAUAUUGGAGACCAGGUUGAAAUAGUGGUCUUAAUGCACUGGUGCCCUAACAAACGCAACAAGCAACAAGAUGCUUCGGUUUACUAUGGAAAUACAAGGGCGACAAGCAGUCCAGUUCUUCCUACAAAGAAACAGCAUACAGUGAGAACAAUAAUUACAGUUUAGCUAUAUACAGCAUAUACAAGUAUAUGUAUCUGCAGCGACACUACAUGCGCAUCUUGCAGCCUACCUUAGAAAUACCUCAAUGGCCUGAUGAACUCAGCAGAUCUUUCAGCUCAUCCGCAAUUGCACGGUAGCAGAACAUGUAUUGUUGCUGAAAAGCAAAUAUAUGCCAAUACAACAUCUAAAUACACAUAAAAAGCACUAAACUGUUCAUGCAAUAAACAUAAAUACCAUUAGCACGUUCAGCAGUAUUAGAUGCAAUGGUCAACCGGAACUGUGUAUUGGAACUACUACCCGCAACUUAUUCUGUACACAUGUUACCAGGCUGUUCAGGGUAUGCAUGCCCAGUAAUAAGAUACUAAACCAGCUUCGUUCAGUUAAAGAGUUACACCAAGAAAGUACACUUUGAACAAAACUAACACUAAACUCCCUGCUAUGGCAGGUGUCGCAUGAUCAAAUUCAAGGAUGAGGGAACGACAAAAGAAAAACUAAUUUACCCUGUACUGUACCUUAACUAACAACUCUAUGCGCAAGAUGCCGAUGAAGGCAAGUUAGGAUUGCACAGCAGGCAUUGUUUUGCCUUGAAAUUGUAGAUAAUCACUUGCAUUGUAACAAACGAAAAAGAUUGCUGCUAUUUCAUUAACUAUUUCGUAACAUGAGAGAACAUCUGUUAGCAAGGCCGUCUGAUGUGCUUAAAUUAUGCUGGUACUGGGGUAUAUUCUUUUUAGAUGAAAAAGAUGAUAGGAGUAAGAAUGAAACAGAAUGCACCUCAGUUUGAACCAUUCCAGUUCGCUGGGACCUAAAUUUUUUUACAGUUUCAACAAGAUCAUAAGAGCUUGUGUCUCCAAGGAGAAUUCUCUCAAUUGAACUAUGGAUGGUGAUGUAAGCACCAGUUCUCCCAAUUCCUGCACUGAAGAAAGAGACCAAAAUAAUGUUAAAAGAAUAAAAAAAUGAGCAAAGGGUAGCAUAGAAUUAAGCUGAAGCAAACCUGCAAUGUGCAACUAUAGGAUGUUCUCUCGGAAUGUGAUGUAACCGUUUUUGAAUUUGUCGCACAGCAUCAGUGCUUGUUGGUACGCCAUGGUCGGGCCAAUCAGGAUACUCUAUAUGGAGUACAGAAUGAACCUUGCCUGACUACAUCAUGAAAAACAACGAUCAGAAGAUCUUUAACCAUAAAAUGUUUCUAGAAAUACUGGUAAGUGCUAACAAAUAAGCAACUUUUAAGAUCUUAAAUCUGAACAUGGCAGAAAUGAAGACCACUACAGCGCCAUCCUAUAAAAAACUUAACAGAAGCUUGAGCGUAUAUCUCCAAGUCAAAUAACGAAAUCAGUUAAAUGGAGCAGCAUGGCAUAAUGAUCUAGAAUGUCACCACAUGCUUUUUCUAUAACUACAUUCAAACAAUAAAACAAAGUUAAAAAAACAGUAAAAGUUGAUGUACAGACUAUACAGGAAAUUAUGAAGUGGCACGUCAUGAUGACAUGAUCACUGAUUCACUAUGCCAAAAUAGAAUAAUAAAUAUGAACUGAACAUGCUUAUGUGCUAUAUAUUGUUAAAGAACAACUCAUCAAAACAACCUUAGGCCUUGUUUGGUUACAGUCUAAACCACGUCGAAUGCCAGGGAUCACACUAAUCCACGUGGGCCGUCCUGGAGGGGAACUGUUACACGCGGAUUAUACUUACAUUGUUUGGUUAAUUCCACAGGGGCCAGAAGAAUCGCGUCCACCUCGUGGAACGAAUCCACGGAGGCGCAAAAAAAAAAAACUGGGAGGGACAAUUUGUAGUCUGUAGUGGAUUGAAUCUGGGUCAACCAAAUGGGGUAGUAGGGAUGGGGAUUGUGUUAGACAGGGAUUGAGGGGAUUGGGUGACAAGUGAUGAUUCCACUAGGGGAUUAUAUCCCUAGUAACCAAACAAAGCCUUAAGGCUUUGUUCGGUUGAGGUGGAUUUUACGGGGGCUGGCAGGGAUUGAGGGGGAUUAAAUCCCCUACAAUACAAAAUCCCCUCCAAUCGCCUUGGGGACAGGAUUAACCGAACAAGGCCUAAAGGGUAAGAAACCCCAAUAAGAACAAACAUAUGGAGGAAUGAUAAAGUUUCAAAACAUGCUAAAUGAGUCUGGAUUAUUUGCCCCUGGUGGCUGCCUAUACCACCCCAUGAAUAACCAUACAAUUUCUGCCUCGAGAUCUGUUCUACAACUAUACUACCAGACCGCAUCAGGUUGUCAGACUCAGAAGUGCUUACCAUUAUUGUUGCUAAUCAACACAAAAGCACAGAACACAGACAGUCAAAUGGUCAGGUUAGUUUAUUGGUGGCUGGUUAGUAGGCAGGAAACAUCGGCUGUGCCACCAUACUGCCAGGUAAGCGUUUAAUGACGCCGCUUGAUCACUGAUCACCUGUAAACAUGCAGCUUUCCCAGAAUGGGUACUGCAUAAACGUGUGUUCUGUUAGUUUUAGAGAAAAUAGGUGCUUGGCUUGGGUUUAUAAAAAAUAAUAGAGUUGAUGCUUUUAUCAAUUCUUCCUGUAUUGCUGGUAUGUCCUCGUGUCAGAUUUGCUCGUGAUGCUUUUAUCAGUUCUUCCUGGGUUGCUGGUAUAGUGGUAUGUCCUUGUGUCAGCUUUGCUUGUAUAAUUUUUAUUGGUCAAGUGCUGGUGAUUUUUUUAUAUUGCUGUUUGAAAAUGUGUAACCAUUCUGACAACAGUAUAUACAGUGUUUUCAUUAAUGACUAAUGUCAGAGACAACUGGGCACUAAAUGAUGCCUUAACAUCUGGUUGAUUAAACUAUGACCACGAGCAAGAAUGCAGCAUGUGUGAAUCUCUAAGUUUGAACCGACAGUGGAUGAGAUGGUGGUAUAGCCCACAGGCAGUGCCCCCCAGGGGAGGGGGGGGGGGGGAUAUAUUAUCCAUACACCUAUAUGUCAUAGAUGAUGUAACAGUUACCACACCAUGGUUUACACUUGAUGAUGCUUAGGAACAUUUAGUAUAUUAGUAUAUAUAUAGUACUUUUACAGACAUAUCCACCAGAGACAUUAAAGAUGCACAUCACAUUGUAGACAUAUAUGUACAUCACUUUCCUACAAUAAUAUAUAUAUAUAAUUUUGCCACAUCAUAUGCCUUGUAUUUACCAUGGUCUGGUAUACAUUCAAAGGCAGUAGUAUAUAAGGAAUACACAAGCAAUAUUGUGAAAAGAAAUCAAUCACAAUUUAUAUAAAAAAUCAUAACACAUAAACGUUAAAUGGUUGCCUUGUUUCAUUCUCAUGAUGAUAGCAUUACUUUUUGUGACAACUGACCUAACUGAGGUCUGUAUCGAUAGAGAUAUAUGCUAGUACAAGCUAAGUUUAAUCAUUUAGAUCCUCACAGUACAACAGGAAGGCGAAUUCAUCAGUAAUAAGAUAUCAUGGCACAUGUCAUCUACGAUGUCUGAUAAAACACAAUAAAGUGAUCAUUGUCUGAAAGAAUAAUAAAAGGCAUAUCAAGUUUCUACGUAAAUUUUGUGCCCCGUCAUAAGAACUAAACCUACAGGAGAAACCUAAAAAGAGGAACUGAAACCUAUGAAUAAGAAAAUUAUACAUCAUCUAAGUUUUAUUGUGAUGCGAAAGAGAAACAAUCCUUCAGAGAAAUAAUGAAACAAAGCAUACAUGGAUGCCCUUAAAUGUUUUAAAUUUUUACCUCAUUGCACUGCACCUCCACAGCACGCAGACAAAAUUGAUGCUUAUCUCUUGUGUCCUUCCUAAUCUUAACAUUAUACUUUCCAUACGUCCCUUGACCAUUUUGCAAUGGAAGAUACUCAUCACACUGCAAUUAUUUCAAAUAUAAUUUCAGAGGAAAUACUGCUGCUUCAAAGUUAAUCUAUAGCACAGAGAAAGCCAAUUGAUAUAGUUGGAAGAACGUCAUCAUUUCCUACUGUUUUCACAAUGCAGUCACUAAGCAAAAGCUACUAUGAUCGAUGCCGCAAAAUAUGACAUCCAUCAGGCAUAAUAAAAAUAUAAAUGAAGAGGACUGCAGGAGCUUCAAAAAUCCCCUAAAGAUGUUUCAGUCAAAAGGGUCUAUUGGCUAUUUACAAGCCAACUGGUUUUCCAUUUUUAGUUGCAACUUGCAAGCAUUAUGCUCACAUUUUUUAGUGCAUUCAUGAAUAUUUGAAUCCUCCCAUAUUUGAACCCUACAUUCUUAAAAAAAAAAUAGUGUUUUAGCAUAGCAUCUAUUGGUUUCUCCUGUAAGAACUGUAAAUUUGCAUUAUGUGUUUCAUCACAUAAUUUUCCAGCUUCCGCAUCUUGUAGGGAUGCUUCAUGCUUAAGUUCUCAUAUGGCACAAUGGCAUAGUUUGCUAAUGAUGUAAUGUUGUUACUUGUAAUGCUUCGGUUUGACUUAUUAUAUUGUCAUGCCUCCCUGGGUCAUAUAAGUAAGCCAGAUUGCACAUGCAAUUAUACCAGCAUGACUGGGUUUCAUUUGCACAUCAGAUCAAUUCAAAGAUGUUAAACAGAUUGUUUAAUGUAAGCAAUCACCUUAACACUGUCGAACUGUGUGAGCAUAACAAUCACAGGACACUGAUUUUCACAAACCAUUUCCCAAAAAUCCUCAAAUGUCCUGACUAGUGGUCCUUGGGUGGAAAUAAAUCUUGCAACACUGUUGUCCUCAGUAGCCUGCAAGUUUUACACCCCAUCGUAAGCUCCUACCAAUUAUCUCAAACAACAAUUAGAAAGCCAAAAGGAACAUGCAUACGAUACAAACUUGACCUUUACAAAGCUUGCAUUGAUGUAAUCAUUGCCUGAAAUUUGACUGGUUGCUGAUGAUUUUAGCCGUACCCUGGUAUCAUCAACUAGAGACAAGGAGUCAAAUCUCAAAUACUGCCAAAUCCAUAAUGCUACUAGGAGGUCUUACUUGGUUUGCACCCCCAAUGAUCACCAUAAAUCCAUGUACAAAUACAGGAGGAAAAUCUCACAUGGUAAGACAUCAAUAUAGCGGUUUUUCUCCCUAUUGGCAGCAUCACGAGCUACAGUGGACAUUUUCAUCAUCUCCGGAUGCAUUGUUCUCAUGCCCUGAAAUGUCGCCAGCAGAUAUGAAAAAUAUAUACUAUGAAUUUUCAUGGUAGCUACAGUAAUUGAAUAUCAUGUAUUGCCUGCAAAAAAAUCAAACCAUGAAUGCAAGAAUACAAGAUGUAAACAUUUGACUAGAUAUCUGCUUGAAAACAAGCCAAACAUCAAUUAGAUAGAAAUGAACUGCCAUGCAAGAAAAAUGUGUAUAUAAAGCCAAGUAACAUGCUACAACUAUAUUGGAGAAAUAGGGCAUUGGUAGAAUAAUAAAAAUUGUCUAAACAGAUCUACUUCCAUGUAGUGAGCCAGUGAUAUGAAGAGAGUAAGAUUAAGUAUAAAAUUUAGAGAUGGGAAUAGAACCCUAGGGAAUUUAACUUCUACAAAUCAAACUCAAUCCUGAUAGGAGUAAGGAUCUACAGCUUCUCAAGUUAAUCCAUCCUUAUCCCACUCAAAAUCUUGUAUCACGGUGAUGUUAACUAAGUAAAUUCUGACAGGAGCAACUGGUACUGAUGCAUCAACAUAAACAUUUUUCUUGCAUGGCCACAAAUGUCACAAAGUGGGAAACCACAUUUCAACAUAUAUGGCAUAAGAUCCACAAUGGUUUACGUAAAAGCAAUCUGGGAUCAGCACUUCAUAUAGGGAAACUAAUACAUAAACCAUGUAAGGAAAGGCACAUCCAGGGCCCAAGAUAUUUUCAGUUGUGCAUCCAUUGCUUUGGUUACAAUUCUAGAAUUUUGUAAGACAUAUACCUCUGUUAAUGGAAAAGGAAUAAUUAUUGGGUUAUUUAACUGCAUAAUUGCACUUACUGGCACGAAAAGGCCAUGUCAAUUUAUGAAAAAGACCAAAAUCCCGGCAUAACAAGGGCGCUCACUACCUACCCAAAGCAGUAACUCAGCCAGUAAGCCACGGCAACACGCUGUAGAUGCUAAAUUGCCGUAUUUACCGACAAAGAGUGGGCAGUAUUUGGCAGACAUUUCAGAAUCAUUACGCAGACGGAUUGGUAACUGGGGAAAAAACACAAUCAAACCUGAAGCCGUUGGAACUCGUCGGACAAGGCAUCCAGCUGCUUGCUCCUCCGCUCGAAAUGCGCGAGCGCAUCCUUGCAUAGCUUGAUCUGCUCGUGCGUCAACGCCAACGGUGGAGGGUCGGCCUCGAUGUCGAAGGGGUCGAACGCGACCCCGGGGACCGGACCCCCGGAGUACUGAGCAUCGGCAUGCGUAUGGCGGGAGCCGGAUCCGGCGAGGCGGGCGACGGCCCUCGCCUUCUCGCGGAGGCCGCCGCCGCCGCGGGAGCUCGUCGCGUUCCCCGUGACUGCGAAGGCGGGCUCACGGCAGCGCUUGGAGAGGGACGCGGUCGCGGGGGCGGAGGGCGGAGGGCUGGUCGGGCUCGUUGCCGUGGUGAGGUUGACGAGGAAGGAAAAUCGUGUGGUCGUUCAGCAGAGUUGUUUAUUUGCACAAAAAUGAAAUUUAUAUUUAUUUCCUCGAAAUUUACACAGUCGAGUUCGAAUGGAGCGGUUAUUCGACUGUUUUAUAUGGAUUUCCUUUUGCGAGGGACACAGGCUAGGCUGAGAUCUCCUUGCAGGCAAUUUUAGUCACUGAAUGCAAACACACUUAGCAUGUAAAUGUGUGGACCGUUAGCUGACCUUAUUAUCUGUUGAUUAAUGAAAUAACUAAAAUUAAUACUCUUUAUAAAAAAAAUCUUCUACGGAUAGCUAGCUUUUUCAAUUAACUAAAAUUAAUACUCUUCAUAAAAAAAUCUUCUACGGAUAGCUAGCUUUUUCAAUUUGGACCUGGUGCCACAAACGGUCAGAGGUUAACAACCUCCCUAUCAAAUGCCGACAUGGAUUGACAGAACUAAGCUACGGUUGUAAGUGCAUCUAGUGCCACCCAUAGUUGGUUUUGGAGUAUUGACGACAAACGUGGUUGAGGGAAUAAUGUGUUUGUGAGAAUUGCAGGAUAACACAGGUAGAAGUCCCUUAUUGAUUCGGUUUACCUACCAGAGAUGACCCCUAAAAAUGUAUGAAGACAUUGAAGACAACGGUGGUUCGUGAAGACAUUCACGUCAAGGACAAUGACGUGUGAAGACAUUCACUUGAAGACUAUGGAGUGCGAACACAUAGUUUCUUUCGUAGUUUUAUUUUCUUCUUCCUUGAGUCAUAGGAACCACCGAACUGUUAAGUGGGGUCCAAGUGAACAAAGUCAGAAAACUGAAGUGAUGCUCAACCCAAAAUCCUAUGUCUUCGAGCGAAGACAAUGAGAGCAAAUCUCAUCUAGAGUCGGAUGAGUCAGCUUUGCUUGUAGCCCAAGUCAAGCUGCCGCGUGUGUUUGAAAUCCGACCGUUGGACACGUGUCGGUUCCUUAGUGACCCAGGGUCAUUUCGGACAUAUCAUGUCGGGCUGUCUGCUGGCUAUAAAUAGCCCACCCCCUCCACCAUAAAUUGGUGGCUGCUCAGAGUAAGUGCACGGCUUUUGUCGUUUGGGAGCAACCCACCUCCGAAGCCUUUGAGAGAGAGAACCCUUGCGAGGACAAAGCCCAAAACACAUAGAGCCAAAGAGUGUUAGGCAUCACUGAAGUCUUUUCUGUCUGCGUGAUCUGAAGACUUAUCACACUUGAGGACUGUGUAUCCUCCAGCCGGUUAUGCGUCACGUUCUGAGGAUCCAAGAGUCAUUGUGGAUCGCCGGUGAACGGAGUCUGUGAAGGUUUGUAAGUCUAACUUGAAGACUUACCAGAGUGAUUGGGAGAGGACUGAGUGUCCUUAGAUCAAGGGGAAUAAGGUGAAGACGUGGUCUUCUGAGUUCAAUCUCAGUCUCCUUAACCAGACGUACAAUAGUCACAGCAAUUGGAACUGGUCUACCAAGUUCUUGUCUUCACCAAACAACUGGUUCUAUCCCCUAUCUCCUUUACAUUUCAGUUUGUCUUCGUGAAGUCAUUGCUUGCAUGCCUGAUCUGUUUGACUUCAUAGUGUGAAGACUUUCUUGUAUUUGUCUUCAUACUGUCCUCCUAUUCCGAUAUGUUCUACCUAGCAGCUAUGUGUCUUCGUGCUUUCAUUGUAAUGUUUACUUGACUAUGGCAUGUCUAGUGUAGAAUAUCUUCCGCUGUAUAUCGUAUAGGUGUUGUUUAGUUGUCUGUCUUCAAAGAUCUUGCAUCUCUCGAAGACUUUCAUAAAAAUCGCCUAUUCACCCCCCCUCUAGUCGAUAACUAGCUCUUUCAACUAUGAACUCAAAUCUUGAACAAAGAUGAACUCCCGAUAGCGGAGACCCCUUCUAUUAAUGGGGGAUUUCUACUUUCGCUAGGAAAAUAGGUUUACAAUAGUUGGGGAUAAAAUGAUUGAUGCCCGACCUCACGCACGCAGGCGCUUAUAUGGCCGGUCACUCGCUAGCUGGAAAGAAGAAAGUGAGCAGCACUUUUAGAGUUAUGCCUUGACUGGCGCUAUCUGAAGAAAAGAACAGCAAACUGUAAAACAGGGCAUCAAUCCAUCAUGACCCUCCAACGCGAGCUCGUCGUUGUUCACCGUUGGAUCGCCUUGACUAGGUCGAAUCGGUACGCCGAUACUGAAGCCGAUAACUGAAUCUCACGGACAGUGCUGCAACUAAUCUUCAGGUAGCUGACAAUGCUCCCCUCUGAGAACAUACUUGUCCUCAAGUAUAAUUGGUAUCAAAGCUAGGUGCUCCCUUGUUCUGCGUGAUUCAGUUUAACCACCUGGAGUUUUAGCUAUGUCGACUGCAGGGAUAAUCAAGGUCUUCACUGCGUGCCCUAUCUUCGAUGGCACCGAUUACCCCUACUGGAAGAAUAAGAUGCACAUGCAUCUUGAAGCCAUUGACAACGACCUCUGGUAUGUUGUCAAGACUGGAGUCCCCAAGGUCGGUGAAGGUGUCACCGCGGCUGAUGUGAAGAGAUUCGCGCAAUUGGACUCAACCGCCAAGAACAUCAUCUGUGGUCAUCUGACCAAAGGGCAGUAUGGCCGUGUGAGUGUACUGGAGUUAGCGAAGCUAGUUUGGGACUGGCUGUCCAAGGUCAACGAAGGCGUCUCAACUCAGAGAGACUCAAGGAUUGAUGUACUUCGCAAUCUCUUCAACCGCUUCAAAAGGCUUGACAAUGAGAACGUCCAACACACAUUUGACCGUCUUACUGAUACCACCAAUGAGCUGCGUGCUCUUGGCGCAACUGAGAUCACCAAGCAUGAAGUUGUGAAGAAGCUACUGAAAUCGCUUGACAUCUCAUUUGACACUCUAGCCUUGAUGAUCCAAGAACGUCCUGACUUCAAGGAUCUUGACCCAUCUGACAUACUUGAGAGGCUCAACACACAUGAGUUCCAGCUAUCCGAGAAGAGAGAUAUCUAUGGCCCCAACUAUGGCCUAUCCUGUGCUUUGAAGGCAAAAGUUCUUUCCUCAUCUGAAGAAGAAUCUGACUGCAGUUCUGAUGAUCCUGAAGACAUUGGCAAAGAACUAGCAAUGCUUGUGAGAAAGUUCCAGAAGUUCUCCAAGAAGAUUCGCUUUGGAAAGUCUACAAGAUUCAGUUCCAAGAAUGAUGAGGCUUUCUCUCAUGACUACAAGAAGAGAACAUGCCACAAAUGCAAGAAGCCAGGCCACUAUAUAUCUGAAUGUCCUCAAUGGGACAAGGAAGCCAAGAAAAAGAAGAAGAGCAAGGAAUAUGAUUCUGACGACAAGAAGAAGAAGAAGAAAUCCUCAAUGUCUUCUUAAAAGUCUUCAUCCUACAAGAAGAGCUCAUCUGGCAAGGCACGUGCAUUCAUUGGCAAGGAGAUGGAUUCAGAGGAGGAGUCUGCUUCUGAGGAGGCGAAGGUGGAGUCUAAGGAGGCGUCUGACUCAGGCGUGGCAAGCUUGGCUCUAGCUUCAGCGUUAGUCGCCAAGUCCAUCUUCAACACUGAAGACAUUGGUCACAUCGCCGACGCUGAAGCCGAUGAUGAGGACGACUCUGCUCCAACCUACUGCUUCAUGGCACGAGGUGCCAAGGUAAACUCACGCGAUGCUUAUUUUCAGACCUCCAAUGAAGAUGACUCUGAAUGUGAAUCCAAGCCCAGCUAUAAGACACUUGCUAAAAUUGCAACUGAACAACAAACAGCCAUGGAAAAGAUUCAAAAAUUGCUAGACAAAAGCGAUGACCUGUUGGACGAGGAAAUGAAUCGAGCUCAUUCCUUAAUCAAGGACAUAAAAAAUCUUCGUGUUAAGUAUGAGGAACUUGAAAGUCACCAUGAAACCCUCUCAGCUACUCAUGAGAAGCUUUCCUAUGAUUAUCUUCAAAGGAAGCAAGAUCUAGAGAAACUGGGAGCGUCUCAUGAAGAUCUUCAAAAGGAAAACGAUUCACUACUCGCUCAACAUAUCAGUUCCGCUCAGGAAGAUUUUGCACCACCUUGCUUAAAAUGCCUUGAGCGUGACAAUGUUGUCUCUAUUGCUGAAUGUUCUACUGCCUCUGAUGUUGCAAUAUCUUCAAUUGCUGAUGUGGUAACUAACCCCUCUUCUGAGGAUGCCACUACUAUUGCUGAUGAGAAUGCCAGGUUGAAGACAUUGCUUGAAACAAGCAUGUACAAAAGCCUCAAAGGGCAUCAGACACUGUGUGAUGUCCUCAAGAAACAGAUUAUGAGCGAAACCCUGGGAAAGAGGGUGUUGGUUUCGAGAGGAAAAUGAAUGCUGAUGGUUCUUACUGGAAGCCUGAGCAGUACCCCAAAACCACAUGGGUUGCUGCAAACGGUCCUUCUUUGGAUCCAUCCACCUUAUCUGGCUUCACUUGUGCUAAUCCUAUUAUCAUCGACGAGUCAUUUGACUCAAACUAUAAACUGUUUAAGAAUCAGAACGGUGACGUGUUUGCCAGGUUUAUUGGUACUAACUGCAGGAAUGGGCCGCCUAUGAAGAAGAUAUGGGUUCAUAAAAGUUGUCUGCUACCUCUUGAGCACCGCGUUGGUUUUCCCUUGAAGAGUAAAGGGUGAUGCAGCAAAGUAGCGUAAGUAUUUCCCUCAGUUUUUGAGAACCAAGGUAUCAAUCCAGUAGGAGGCCACACGCAAGUCCCUCGUACCUACACAAACAAAUAAGAACCUUGCAACCAACGCGAUAAAGGGGUUGUCAAUCCCUUCAUGGCCACUUGCAAAAGUGAGAUCUGAUAAAGAUGAUAAGAUAAUAUUUUUGGUAUUUUUAUGAUAAAGAUUAAAAGUGAAUAAUGCAAAAUAAACGGCGACAGAAAUAACUAGUUGACGGGAGAUUAAUAUGAUGGAAAAUAGACCUGGGGGCCAUAGGUUUCACUAGUGGCUUCUCUCAAGAUAGCAUAAGUAUUACGGUGGGUGAACAAAUUACUGUCGAGCAAUUGAUAGAAAAGUGCAUAAUUAUGAGAAUAUCUAGGCAUGAUCAUGUAUAUAGGCAUCACGUCCGCGACAAGUAGACCGACUCCUGCCUGCAUCGACUACUAUUACUCCACACAUCACCGCUAUCAAGCAUGCAUCUAGAGUAUUAAGUUCAUAAGAACAGAGUAACACAUUAGGUAAGAUGACAUGAUGUAGAGGGAUAAACUCAUGCAAUAUGAUAUAAACCCCAUCUUUUUAUCCUCGAUGGCAACAAUACAAUACGUGUCAUUUCCCCUACUGUCACUGGGAUCGAGCACCGCAUGAUUGAACCCAAAGCUAAGCACUUCUCCCAUUGCAAGAAAGAUCAAUCUAGUAGGCCAAACCAAACUGAUAAUUCGAAGAGACUUGCAAAGAUAAUCAAUCAUACAUAAAAUAAUUCAGAGAAGAUUCAAAUAUUGUUCAUAGAUAAUCUUGAUCAUAAACCCACAAUUCAUCGGAUCUCGACAAACACAUAGCAAAAAGAGUUACAUCAAAUAGAUCUCCAAGAAGAUCGAGGAGAACUUUGUAUUGGGAUCCAAAGAGAGAGAAGAAGCCAUCUAGCUAAUAACUAUGGACCCGAAGGUCUGUGGUAAACUACUCACACAUCAUCAGAGAGGCUAUGGUGUUGAUGUAGAAGCCCUCCGUGAUCGAUGCCCCCUCCGGCAGAGCGCCGGAAAAGGCCCCAAGAUGGGAUCUCACGGGUACAGAAGGUUGCGGCGGUGGAAUUAGGUUUUCGUGGUGCUCCUCAAUGGUUUCGGGGUACGUAGGUAUAUAUAGGAGGAAGAAGUAGGUCGGUGGAGCAACGAGGGGCCCACGAGGGUGGAGGGCGCGCCCAGGGGGGUAGACGCGCCCCCUGCCUCAUGGCCUCCUCGGUGAUUUCUUGACGUCCACUCCAAGUCCUCUGGAUCACGUUUGUUCCAAAAAUAACUCUCCCGAAGGUUUCAUUCCGUUUGGACUCCGUUUGAUAUUCCUUUUCUGCGAAACACUGAAAUAGGCAAAAAAACAGCAAUUUGCACUGGGCCUUGGGUUAAUAGGUUAGUCCCAAAAAUAAUAUAAAAAUGUAUAAAUAAGCCCAUUAAACAUCCAAAAUAGAAUAUAUAAUAGCAUGGAGCAAUAAAAAAUUAUAGAUACGUUGGAGACGUAUCAAGCAUCCCCGCUUAAUUCCUGCUCGUUCUCGAGUAGGUAAAUGAUAAAAACAGAAUUUUUGAUGUGGAAUGCUACUUAGCAUAUCCUUCAAUGUAUUUCUCUUUAUUGUGGCAUGAAUGUUCAGAUCCGAAAGAUUCAGGAUAAAAGUUUAAUAUUAACAUGAAAAUAAUAAUACUUCAAGCAUACUAACAAAGCAAUCAUGUCUUCUCAAAAUAACAUGGCCAAAGAAAGUUAUCUCUACAAAAUCAUAUAGUCUGGCUAUGCUCUAUCUUCACCACACAAAGUAUUUAAAUCAUGCACAACCCCGAUGACAAGCCAAGCAAUUGUUUCAUACUUUUGAUGUUCUCAAACUUUUUCAAUCUUCACGCAAUAUAUGAGCGUGAGCCAUGGACAUAGCACUAUAGGUGGAAUAGAAUGGUGGUUGUGGAGAAGACAAAAAGGAGAAGAUAGUCUCACAUCGACUAGGCGUAUUAAUGGGCUAGGAAGAUGCCCAUCAACAGAUAUCAAUGUGAGUGAGUAGGGAUUGCCAUACAAUGGAUGCACUAGAGCUAUAAGUGUAUGAAAUCUCAACAAAAGAAACUAAGUGGGUGUGCAUCCAACUCGCUUGCUCACGAAGACCUAGGGCAUUUUGAGGAAGCCCAUCAUUGGAAUAUACAAGCCAAGUUCUAUAAUGUAAAAUUCCCACUAGUAUAUGAAAGUGACAACAUAGGAGACUCUCUAUCAUGAAGAUCAUGGUGCUACUUUGAAGCAAAAGUGUGGAAAAAGGAUAGUAACAUUGUCCCUUCUCUCUUUUUCUCUCAUUUUUUUAUUUGGGCCUUCUGUUUUUUUCUUUUGGCCUCUUUUUUUUUCUUCGUCCGGAGUCUCAUCCCGACUUAUGGGGGAAUCAUAGUCUCCAUCAUCCUUUCCUCACAUGGGACUAUGCUCUAAUAAUGAUCAUCACACUUUUAUUUACUUAUAACUCAAGAAUUACAACUCGAUACUUAGAACAAAAUAUGACUCUAUGUGAAUGCCUCCGGUGGUGUACCAGGAUAUGCAAUGAAUCAAGAGUGACAUGUGAAAGAAUUAUGAAGGUGGCUUUGCCACAAAUACGAUGUCAACUACAUGAUCAUGCAAAGCAAUAUGACAAUGAUGAAGCGUGUCAUAAUAAAUGGAACGGUGGUAAGUUGCAUGGCAAUAUAUCUCGGAAUGGCUAUGGAAAUUCCAUAAUAGGUAGGUAUGGUGGCUGUUUUGAGGAAGGUAUAUGGUGGGUAUAUGAUACCAGCGAAAGGUGCACGGUAUUAGAGAGGCUAGCAAUGGUGGAAGGGUGAGAGUGCGUAUAAUCCAUGGACUCAACAUUAGUCAUAAAGAACUCACAUACUUAUUGCAAAAAUCUAUUAGUUAUCGAAACGAAGUACUACACGCAUGCUCCUAGGGGGAUAGAUUGGUAGGAAAAGACCAUCGCUCGUCCCCGACCGCCACUCAUAAGUAAGACAAUCAAUAAAUAAAUCAUGCUCCGACUUCAUCACAUAACGGUUCACCAUACGUGCAUGCUACGGGAAUCACAAACUUUAGAACAAGUGUUUCUCAAAUUCACAACUACUCAACUAGCAUGACUCUAAUAUCACCAUCUUCAUAUUUCAAAACAAUUAUCAAGUAUCAAACUUCUCUUAGUAUUCAAUGCACUUUAUAGUUUUUAUCUUGGAUGCCUAUCAUAUUAGGACUAAUUUUAUAACCAAGGCAAAUUACCAUGCUGUUCUAAAGGACUCUCAAAAUAAUAUAAGUGAAGCAUGAGAGAUCAAUAAUUUCUAUAAAAUAUAACCACCACCGUGCUCUAAAAGAUAUAAGUGAAGCACUAGAGCAAAAUUGUUUACCUCAAAAGAUAUAAGUGAAGCACAUAGAGUAUUCUAAUAAAUUCCGUAUAACGCGUGUCUCUCUCAAAAGGUGUGUACAGCAAGGAUGAUUGUGGUGAACUUAAAAAACAAAGACUCAAAUCAUACAAGACGCUCCAAGCAAAACACAUAUCAUGUGGUGAAUAAAAAUAUAGCUCCAAGUAAAGUUACCGAUGGACGAAGACAAAAGAGGGGAUGUCUUCCGGGGCAUCCCCAAGCUUAGGCUUUUUGGUGUCCUUGGAUUUUACCUUGGGGUGCCUUGGGCAUUCCCAAGCUUAGGCUCUUGCCACUCCUUGUUCCAUAAUCCAUCAAAUCUUUACCCAAAACUUGAAAACUUCACAACACAAAACUUAACAGAAAAUCUCGUGAGCUCCGUUAGCGAAAGAAAACAAAACACCACUUCAAGGUACUGUAAUGAACUCAUUAUUUAUUUAUAUUGGUGUUAAACCUACUGUAUUCCAACUUUUCUAUGGUUCAUAAGCUCCAUUACUAGCCAUAGAUUCAUCAAAAUAAGCAAACAACACACGAAAAACAGAAUCUGUCAAAAACAGAACAGUCUGUAGUAAUCUGUAUCAAACGCAAACUUCUGGAACUCCAAAAAUUCUAAAAUAAAUUGCUGGACGUGAGGAAUUUAUCUAUUAAUCAUCUGCAAAAAGAAUCAACUAAAGCACUCUCCAGUAAAAAGUUGUAGCUAAUCUCGUGAGCGCUAAAGUUUCUGUUUUUUACAGCAAGAUCGCAAAGACUUUCCCCAAGUCUUCCCAAAGGUUCUACUUGGCACAAGCACUAAUUAAAACACAAAACCACAUCUAAACAGAAUCCAGAUGGAUUAUUUAUUCCUAAACAGAACCAAAAAGAAAAAAAAUAAAAUAAAAUUGGGUUGCCUCCCAACAAGCGCUAUCGUUUAACGCCCCUAGCUAGGCAUAAAGGCAAGGAUAGAUCUAGGUUUUAUCAUCUUUGGUAUGCAAUCCAUAAGUAGCUCUCAUAAUAGAUUCAUAAGGUAAUUUUAUCUUCUUUCUAGGAAAGUGUUCCAUGCCUGUCCUUAACAGAAAUUGGAAUCUAAUAUUUUCUUCCUUCAUAUCAAUAAUUGCACCAAUCGUUCUAAGGAAAGGUCUACCAAGAAUAAUGGGACAUGAAGGAUUGCAAUCUAUAUCAAGAACAAUGAAAUCUACGGGCAAAUAAUUCCUAUUUGCAACAAUAAGAACAUCAUUAAUUCUUCCCAUAGGUUUCUUAAUGGUGGAAUCCGCAAGGUGCAAGUUUAAGGAACAAUCAUCAAAUUCACGGAAACCUAGCAAAUCACACAAAGUUUUUGGAAUUGUGGAAACACUAGCACCCAAAUCACACAAAGCAUAGCAUUCAUGAUCCUUAAUUUUAAUAGUAGGUUCCCACUCAUCAUAAGUUUUCUAGGGAUAUAAACUUCCAAUUCAAGCUUUUCUUCAUAAGAUUGCAUUAAAGCAUCAACGAUAUGUUUAGUAAAAGCCUUAUUUUGACUAUAAGCAUGCGAAGAAUUUAGCACAGAUUGCAACAAGGAAAUACAAUCUAUUAAAGAACAAUUAUCAUAAUUAAAUUCCUUGAAAUCCAAGAUAGUGGGUUCAUUGCUAUCUAAAGUUUUGACCUCUUCAAUCCCACUUUUACCAAAUUUUGCAUCAAGAUCUAAAAACUCCGAAUCAUUGGGACACCUUUUAACUAAAGUUGACUCAUCUCCAGUCCCAUCAUUAUCAAGAUUCAUAUUGAAAAUCAAAGAUUUAAUACGGGACACAUCAAUCACUUUUAGAUCUUCAUCCUUAUUAUCAUGAAAACUAGAAGAACACGCUUUCAUAAAGCAAUCUUUUUUAGCACGCAACCUAGCGGUUCUUUCUUUGCACUCAUCAAUGGAAAUACUCAUAGCCUUGAGAGACUCAUUGAUAUCAUGCUUAGGUGGAAUAGAUCUAAGUUUCAAAGAAUCAACAUCAAGAGAAAUUCUAUCCACGUUCCUAGCCAAUUCAUCAAUCUUAGGCAAUUUUUCUUCAAGCAAAGCAUUGAAAUUCUUUUGAGAAAUCAUAAAUUCUGUAACACUAGUCUCAAAAUCAGAGGGCAUCUUAUUAAAAUUUCCAUAAGAGUUGUUGUAGGAAUUACCAUAAUUAUUAGAGGAAUUACUAGGAAACGACCUAGGAUUAAAGUUUCCUCUAUAUGCGUUGUUACCAAAAUUAUUCCUACCAACAAAAUUUACAUCUAUGGAUUCAUUAUUAUUCUCAAUCAAGGUAGACAAAGGCAUAUCAUUGGGAUCAGAAGAAACAUAAAUGAUCCGGGGCUAGUGUUGGGUAGCCGGGCCCACUAGAAUUCAAGUGCUUCUUAUCGAUUCAAUACGCUCUAUUACCUUUGUGCCAAGAGAACGUUAAGCUGCCUGGGCUGUUCCGCUACCGGCGUGUAAAGAAGCUCCACCUAACGGCUAAACCAAUGAAUUUCUCUCCUUAAAGGAACUCUUAUUAGCAAAAAAAUUCAUAAGUUCAUCCAUCUUUCCUCUCAAAACAUUAAUUUCUUCAAUUGCAUGCACCUUUUUACUAGUAGAUCUUUCAGUGUGCCAUUGAGAAUAAUUGACCAUAAUAUUAUCUAGGAGUUUAGCAGCUUCUCCUAAAGUGAUUUCCAUAAAAGUGCCUCCCGCAGCCGAAUCUAAAAGAUUUCUAGAAGCAAAAUUCAAUCUGGCAUAAUUUUUUUGUAUAAUCAUCCAUAAAUUCAAACCAUGUGUAGGGCAAUUUCGUAUCAUUAAUUUCAUUCUCUCCCAAGCUUGUGCAACAUGUUCAUGAUCAAGUUGCUUAAAGUUCAUAAUAUCGUUUCUAAGAGAGAUGAUCUUAGCGGGAGGAAAAUACUUAGAGAUAAAAGCAUCUUUGCACUUAUUCCAAGAAUCAAUACUAUUUUUAGGCAAAGACGAAAACCAAGUUUUAGCACGAUCUCUAAGUGAAAAAGGAAAUAGCUUCAAUUUAACAAUAUCAUUGUCCACAUCUUUCUUCUUUUGCAUAUCACACAAAUCAACGAAGCUAUUCAGAUGGGUAGCGGCAUCUUCACUAGGAAGGCUGGGGAAUUGAUCUUUCAUGACAAGAUUCAGCAAGGCAACAUUAAUUUCACAAGAUUCUGCAUCAGUAAGCGGAGCAAUCGGAGUGCUAAGAAAAUCAUUGUUGUUGGUAUUGGCAAAGUCACACAAUUUAGUAUUAUCUUGAGCCAUCGUGAUAAGCAAACAAUCCAACACACAAGCAAACAAGAAGCAAGCGAAAAAGAGGCGAACGGAAAGAGAGGGCGAAUAAAACGGCAAGGGUGAAGUGGGGGAGAGGAAAACGAGAGGCAAAUGGCAAAUAAUGUAAUGCGAGGGAUAAGAGUUUGUGAUGGGUACUUGGUAUGUCUUGACUUGUGCGUAGACUCCCCGGCAACGGCGUCAGAAAUCCUUCUUGCUACCUCUUGAGCACUGCGCUGGUUUUCCCUUGAAGAGGAAAGCGUAAUGCAGCAAAGUAGCGUAAGUAUUUCCCUCAGUUUUUGAGAACCAAUGUAUCAAUCCAGUAGGAGGCCACACGCAAGUCCCUCGUACCUACACAAACAAAUAAGAACCUUGCAACCAACGCGAUAAAGGGGUUGUCAAUCCCUUCACGGCCACUUGCAAAAGUGAGAUCUGAUAGAGAUGAUAAGAUAAUAUUUUUGGUAUUUUUAUGAUAAAGAUUAAAAGUAAAUAAUGCAAAAUAAACGGCGACAGAAAUAGCUAGUUGAUGGGAGAUUAAUAUGAUGGAAAAUAGACCCGGGGGCCAUAGGUUUCACUAGUGGCUUCUCUCAAGAUAGCAUAAGUAUUACGGUGGGUGAACAAAUUACUGUCGAGCAAUUGCUAGAAAAGUGCAUAAUUAUGAGAAUAUCUAGGCAUGAUCAUGUAUAUAGGCAUCACGUCCGCGACAAGUAUACCGGCUCCUGCCUGCAUCUACUACUAUUACUCCACACAUCGACCGCUAUCCAGCAUGCAUCUAGAGUAUUAAGUUCAUAAGAACAGGGUAACACAUUAGGUAAGAUGACAUGAUGUAGAGGGAUAAACUCAUGCAAUAUGAUAUAAACCCCAUCUUUUUAUCCUCGAUGGCAACAAUACAAUACGUGUCAUUUCCCCUACUGUCACUGGGAUCGAGCACCGCAUGAUUGAACCCAAAGCUAAGCACUUCUCCCAUUGCAAGAAAGAUCAAUCUAGUAGGCCAAACCAAACUAAUAAUUCGAAGAGACUUGCAAAGAUAAUCAAUCAUACAUAAAAUAAUUCAGAGAAGAUUCAAAUAUUGUUCAUAGAUAAUCUUGAUCAUAAACCCACAAUUCAUCGGAUCUCGACAAACACAUAGCAAAAAGAGUUACAUCAAAUAGAUCUCCAAGAAGAUCGAGGAGAACUUUGUAUUGGGAUCCAAAGAGAGAGAAGAAGCCAUCUAGCUAAUAACUAUGGACCUGAAGGUCUGUGGUAAACUACUCACACAUCAUCAGAGAGGCUAUGGUGUUGAUGUAGAAGCCCUCCGUGAUCGAUGCCCCCUCCGGCAGAGCGCCGGAAAAGGCCCCAAGAUGGGAUCUCACGGGUACAGAAGGUUGCGGCGGUGGAAUUAGGUUUUCGUGGUGCUCCUCAAUGGUUUCGGGGUACGUAGGUAUAUAUAGGAGGAAGAAGUAGGUCGGUGGAGCAACGAGGGGCCCACGAGGGUGGAGGGCGCGCCCAGGGGGGUAGGCGUGCCCCCUGCCUCGUGGCCUCCUCGGUGAUUUCUUGACGUCCACUCCAAGUCCUCUGGAUCAUGUUUGUUCCAAAAAUAACUCUCCCGAAGGUUUCAUUCCGUUUGGACUCCGUAUGAUAUUCCAUUUCUGCGAAACACUGAAAUAGGCAAAAAACAGCAAUUUGUACUGGGCCUUGGGUUAAUAGGUUAGUCCCAAAAAUAAUAUAGAAGUGUAUAAAUAAGCCCAUUAAACAUCCAAAACAGAAUAUAUAAUAGCAUGGAGCAAUAAAAAAUUAUAGAUACAUUGGAGACGUAUCAUUGUCUUGAGAAGCUUCCCGUGAAUGUCAUCAUGACACCACCAGGGAAGAAGAUAAACCCUCGACCAAAGGCUUCAUACAGACAGAGGACCUCACAAGGUCACCCUAACGCCAAUGUUUUGCAGGGAAAUUAUCAUCAAACUCAUGAAUAUGAGCGUGUUUCUUCUAACCGCUAUGUUCACAAAUCAAAGAAUUUUUCUGCAUAUUCAUUUGAGUACUAUUCACCUCCUGCGAAACUAUUUGCUAGGGCUCCAAAGCCAAAGUUCUCUGAUGCUGCACUUAGACUCAUUGCUUCUAAGCCACCCCUUAAGAUGUGGGUGGUUAAGAAGAAUUAAGUUCGCUUGCAGGAUUGGGUCUCCAUCCGAAAAUCAUUGACUUCUGAAGACAAUGUUGGGGACCUAAAACAUCUUGUGGGAUGCAAGAUAAAGUGCCAAAAUGGUCUUACCAUUUAUUUCGUCCCUGGGUUUCUUGAUGAGCAUCCUAUCUUACCAUCCAAGAAUCUUAAUUUUGAUAGUAUGCUUGUUCGUCAAAUGUUUGUGCUUCACAAUACUCUUGGUGAAGCCUAUCCCGCUAACUGCACUGUAGGGUACAACUCCGGAAACUACUGAAUGGAUUAUGGACAGUGGAAGCACUAACCGCAUUGAAAGAACAUGCGGUGCCCCCAUGUUUGGUUUUGGUAAUUGAUGACAAUCUCUAUGGACUAAUGGUUGCCUUGAGUCAUAUUUGAAGGAUUUGUCCAUAGUCUUUUCUUGGAGUCCAUUUGUUGUUUUCAAGAAGAGUUUGUGAUGACCAAGAUUGGUUAUGUGAGUGUUGAGCUUAUUGCAAGCAUGUCUUGAAGAAGAAGAGUGUGUUAUCGUUCAAGUUCACCUUCAAGUCAUCAUCCAAAUGAAGAGAGUUGGAAAGGUUCAAGGUUGAUCAAGACUAAGUACAGAGAGUGAUUCAAGUUGAUCAACAAACAAAGCGUAGAAGAAGUACCUAGAGGGAUCAAGUCGUCCCAUGGUAUGGUAAGCAUUGUCCAUUACUCUUUGUGUACUAACCCAUGGUUUACGUGUGAGUUCUAUGUGGGGUUAGGUAUGUUUCCAUGGGCUUGUGUCAAGAGGAAGAUAUUAUACAACCCAUGGAGGAUGACAUCAAGCGGUGAUCGUCAUCAAGAUUGCAGUGUGCAAGUUCAAGUGGGGCAUCACGAAGAGAUCAAGUGCUUGAAGCUUGCCGUCCAUUAUGCUGUCAAUGGACUUGUGAAGAUGUGCCGAAGAGUAGCUCACCCACAGUGGAGUAUGGGGGAGCAAUCAACUAGUCUUCACCGAGCCAAUGCAAUCAACAAAGAUGGUCCAACUUGAGAAAGUCAAGAUCGUCUUCAUCCAUCUCAAGUGGACUGUGUGCAAGGCAAAGGUUUUCCCUUGAUAGGUUUUGUCGGGGAUAUACCCCGCGGUAUGACCCGGCCGGACUUGGCGCUUCACCGUGACCCGCCGGAGGACUGGCGACUCACGGGUCUGGCGGCUCACUGCCAGACGACUCACGAGCCUGACGACCCACGGAUGACCCCGAGGGUGGGUCAGAUAGAAGACUAGGCCCAAGGCCCAGAAGGCCGGUUCACGUUUAUGAUGGGCCGGCUUAAGAAGAAAGGGAUGACGAAUAUUUCCUUUACGAGGAAGCAAGACCCGGAUUUGUAAUUAACUUGUAAAGAGAAGAUAGACUAGUCCUAGUCCUACUAGGACUCCACAUGUAACCCGCCCCUCUAACUUAUAUAAGGAGGGGCAGGGCACCCCAAAGAGGGACGGGCAACAAGAAAUAAUCUCUAGGGCUAAACACCGAGAGCCGGAGCCGGCGACUCUCCGGUGAUCAUAAUGAGACUUAGCCUCAAACAGCACGUAGGGUUGUUACCGGAUGAUGUUUCCCGGGGCCCGAAGCUGUAUAAACCCUUGUCUUGUGCAUUGAUCCGCCCUGCGUCUCUCAUCCCAAUCAACCCCUCUCAAGCUACUACAUAGAUGCGCUGGCCUCAUGACUAAGUCCUUACACCUAGGACAUCUAACGUGUUAAUUCCACGACAGUUGGCGCCCACCGUGGGGCUCACACAUGGUGGUGUUGAGCUCUUGGAGGGAUCUCCCCAGGGAUCGAGGAGUUUGCAAUUUUCCAGAAGAAGAUUUUACAAUCCAUGAGAUUGGAGUUGAAGAAGAAAGUCAGGGUUGCGUCAUGAGAGCCGCCUCCGGGUCGUAUCCUCCGCGAGCCAUCUCCAAGUUAUUUCCACUGCGAGCCGCCCCGACCGUCGCCCGAGAGCCGCCUCCGGGUCGUAUCCUCCGCGAGCCAUCUCCAAGUUAUUUCCACUGCGAGCCGCCCCGACCGUCGCUGCGCCUCCGCCGUCUCACGUGUGCUACUCCGAUCACAAGCCGUUGAUCCACCAGCACCUGACUCCAAGCCGACCACGCCCGUGUGCCCGUGUAGCUGCUUCCGCCCUGGCCGGUGUCGACCCGCCGCUGCCUUGCCUUGUUGCGAGCCACCGUGACACACUGAACCACCGUGAGUCGCGAGCGGGCCUCCUCUGCUCGACCCUGUUCUGGGCCGCCUUUGCGACCUCGUCUCUGAAUCGGAACCGUCCUUCGUCUCGGACUUGGAAAGUCCGCUCGUCUCCAAGUCAAAGCCGCCUCGUCAGUCCGCCUCAUUGGGGGCUCCCGCCGAGUCGUCGCCCUCCACUUGCAGGGCCUGCCAAGAACCCCCUGUCAAGCUGCGACCCGCCUAGCCGGAUUCGGCCCCGAACCGCUGAGCUCCCCUCGCCGUGGCUUUCAAAAUUCGCCGGUGCGCCUCCGAGCCGUCUGUGCCGUCGCUCCGUGUGAUUGUGGUUCGGCCCGCCUCAAGCCGGUUCCACUAAGCCGCCAUUGAGGCCCACGCCCACGUUUUUGAUCAUCUACUGCCUCUGUUGUUGUGGCCGUGGGCACACCUCUAAGCCACUUCCGAAGCCGCCGUCGCGACGGGACUCUGCUACUACCAUGGAUGUGACCACGACCCGGAGAAGGAUUGGAUCGCACAGAGUCGGAUUUUGCCAUGACCGCGCUAGGCCGCUGUUGUCACCCUGCAAUUUUGCUUGAGCCGCCGCCACGCACUGAGCGGUCACGGCUGAGACCCGCCGCGUCGUUUCCAUCCUCUGCUAGGAGCUGCGCUGAGUCGCCCUUGGGCCUUGGCUGAGCGGCCUCACUUCCACCUCUCCGAGCCGCUUUUGCCGAGUCACUCGCCGCGCCUUGCCUCGCCGGUGUCCCUCCGCCGCGGACUCGCCGGGGCGCUGCUGAGCCGCCCACCUGCGGUCUCCAACCCGGUCUGGCCCGGCCAAGUGACCGGCUCCGCCAGGCUCACCGCGGGUUACUUCCGCCACAGCUGCUUCAGGGAGACGAGGUUGGAGGACAAGGAGCAAGUGGCUAUUACCUUGCUAUCGUUGCCCUGCACCCAGCUGUCAUGGUUGAUUCCUGGCCCUGGGCAGGAGUCCCAGUGGGCAAGUACAACUAUCAAAUUUCCAGCAGAUCAAUGACAGUCAAAGUUAGUCAAAGCAAGAAGCAAAGUACUACUGGAUCAAUCACGACAAGGCUGCUUUAAUUACUUAUUGGUGGACUACUAUCCCACGUGGAGGCCAGCAUUAUGCAUUAUGUCUGUGCUCAUCCGACAAAUCACCAGGUGUCGCAUAAGGUGCGUACCAAUAUCACUUUUGCACUAGCGUUUAUUGAGCCGCUGAGGCCGCGUUGAGCCGUUCCUGCGGUGGUGAGCUACCCUAUUGAGCUGCCCCCGCUGUGCUAAGCCGCCGGGGCUGCGCUGAGCCGCUUCUGCCGUGUUAAGCCGCUGGGGCUAUAUUGAGCCGCCCUUGCCGCUUUGAGCCGCCGGGGUUAUAUAAUUCGCCGGUCUGCCCGAGCCGCCGGAACUAUAUUGAGCCACCUCUGUCUCGAUAAACGUCGUCCAAACAAAUCAGGUGAUAUCCAUCCAAGUUUGUUUUAUUAGCACAUGUUGUUUUGUCAAAGAACAAGCUUAUCUCUGCCUUGAUCUGCAAUAUUGUUUAUGCAGGGCAAUUAUUUAUGACAAAAAGUGAUAUUAUACUGCGGAGAUGGAGGCACGCCAACAUCUUUUGGCACAGGUGGUCUUCGUUAUUCAACGGACCCCACACCAGCUUACAACACCGUAGCCGUCUCUUGCGACCGCCCCGGCUUACCACGCCGUGGCCGUUUCUUGCGAAUGCGCCGGUUUACAACGAGGAGGACAAUUUGCCCGUUUGCACUGGCUUACAACGCCACGGACGACUCGCCCGUCCGUCCUCGCGGCCGGUUCACGUGUCUGCGCCAGCUUACAACAUCGUGGCCGACUCGCUGCCCGCGCCGGCUUACAAAAGUCACGGCCGACUCACCCGUCCACACUGGUUUACCACGUCGUGGCCGGUUCACCCGUGAGCGACUUCAACUUCACCUAGCGAUCAUCAAUUUCAUGGCGGAUUAUUUCCGGCCUAGCACAUCAGGUGAUAUCCAUCUAAAAUAUAUUUUAUUGGUACAUAUUAUUUUGUCAAAGAGCAGUUUAUCUUUGUCUUGGUCUGCAAUAUUGUUGAUGCAGGACAAUUGUUCACUACAUCAAAACGACGUGGUUAACUCGCCCGACCGCGCCGGUUUACAACACCGCGGCCGGUUCAUCUGUCUGAGCCGCUUCUGAUGCUGAGGUCGUCUUUUCCGUCCGCCUCUCGCGGCCUGGUCUACAUCAACACACCGAGCCGCACCUAUCUGCAUGAGCUGUGUAUUGAGUAUGAGCAGGUCACUACUUGGGAAGCCCGGUUUUCUUCCAACAAAUUAGAGGCAAAUUAUCAUAUGUUAUCAGCCGCCGUCUGCACCUGGAUGGCUCAAUGGACAUGCGCACAAGUCACCAUCACUACAGUUUGGUUAAACUUCAAACAACCAGUUGGAAGGAACCAUUGGCCGAGUUGCUGACACGGCUCAUACGGGAACAUUUAUAACCCGCCGCAGUCACCUCAACCUUCUGUGGAUACACAUUGUGUUAUCAACACCAAUGAUAUACAAGUUAUGCCGGUUUAUAUCACGGUUAAAGAUGGAGAAUCUCAAGCCAACUCCUCGAGUCAUCUUGAGACUCGAGGGCUACAGUGACAUGACUCGGGAACCCCGGGUCGUUGGAGGGAAUGAUAACCCGGUUCCGGAGGCUGCUACCAUAUUGAUGAAACUUUAAAGGCCGUCAGAAAAUUGCCGGUUCAAAUAAAGAUUCCGGUUUAAAAUCCGGUUCAAGAGAUAUCUUUCUCCCGCAAAGUUUUGAAGCUCUCAAGUCCGGUUCAAACGUCCGGCUCAAGGUAAAUUUGUAUCUUAUAAAGCUUUGAAGCUCUUAAUAUCCGGUUUACAAAUUUCCGGUUCAAAAAGAAUUUAUCUCUCGCAAAAGUUCGAGUUCUCAGGAAAAAUUGAAGGGACCAAAAAGAGUCUGUUACAAAGCACAACCCAAACAUAGGUACCCUGCUUUAAUGACCAUUGGGAGCUGAUCGUAUUUGAAUUUAGCUUAACCCUUUAGGUGUGACCCUGAUCGUAUUUGAAUCAGAGUCGUUAAAUAUUCUCAUGAUCACUAGGGGGCUUCCUGUUCAA